UCUGCUAUACUAUUUGAUCGUGGUGUUGAUGAGAACCCACCAAUAAUUGCCUUUACUUUACCGCAAAUUUACUUUUACUUAAAGUAAUAUAAUAUAUUAUAUUUACUGUAUGGUGUAGGUUUAUUACCCAUACAACAGUAUUUAUUUAAAAGGGUGGUGCGGGUUUAUCGUCCACGCCUUUACUUUUAUUUAAAUGUAUGGAGCAGAAUUAGUGCCCAUACAAGCACAAUUUACUUUACCGCACAUUUAAUUUUAUUUAAGGUAUGGUGCGGGAUUAACGUCCAUACAACAAGCAGUUUAAUUUAUGAAUUUACUUUAUCGCACAUUUAUUUUAUUUACUGUAUGGUGUAGGUUUAUUAUCCAUACAACAGUAUUUAUUUAAAAGGGUGGUGCGGGUUUAUCGUCCACACCUUUACUUUUAUUUAAAUGUAUGGAGCAGAAUUAGUGCCCAUACAAGCGCAUUUACUUUACCGCACAUUUAAUUCCAUUUAAGGUAUGGUGCGGGAUUAACGUCCAUACAGCAAGCAAUUUAAUUUAUGAAUUUACUUUAUCGCACAUUUAUUUUAUUUACUGUAUGGUGUAGGUUUAUUAUCCAUACAACAGUAUUUAUUUAAAAGGGUGGUUUACCGCACAUUUACAUUUAUUUAAAGUAUGGUGCGGGUUUAUCGUCCAUACCAGUAAUUUAUUUACCAGUAAUUUAUUUUAUGGAUUAAUUGUGCUGUAUGAUGAGUUUUUACAGUAUGCAGAUCAGGACCAGAAGUUCCUUGAUCCUCAUCACACAAUUACAUCAGGACUUGAAGAUCCUUGAUGAUGAUGUUAAUAUGAGAGCUGGCAGUCUCUCCGGUACUAUAUUUGUAAACAUGUGAUUGGACUUGAGGGUCCUUGAUCCUUGACAUGUAAAUAAGGACCUGGGGUUCCUUAAUGAUGUAAUAGUACCGUAUUGGUUCAUAAUGCCGUACACAUGGAUGAUAACUGUACUGGUAAAUGUACUGUACACAUGAAUAGUGCCGUAUACAUGAAUAGUGAUGUAUGCAUAAAUAUUUACCAUUUUGGGUAAACUAUCACCAUUCAAAAGGGAACCUGCAAUUCCUUAAACUCAUGGAUGAGCAAUUAAAUGAGAUGCCAGAAGUUCCUCAAGAUAUGGACAAUUAUGUAAGGAUUUGAAGUCCAGAAAUAUGUACAGAAAAUUGUAAAAAUGUCCAUACCAUGAGAAUAUGUGAUUUUGGCCUGAAGUUCAAAAUCUAAGGGGAUUGAAUGUCCAUACCAUGAGAAUAUGUGAUUUUGGCCUGAAGUUCAAAAUCUAACAGUGUUGAGAACCUGAAGUUCCAACAAUUAAAUGGACAACCCUUGAGGUAUUAUUGCAAAUUGUGGUACGCCACAUAUUUCUUUGGCAUAAGAGAAUGAUGAAUUUAAUAAAGUUCGAUUCUGUUAUAAUCGACACCUCAAGGAAGAAAUAUAUUUUGUGAAUUCCGAUUGUUAAGAAUACACCGUGAAAUGGAUAAUAUCAAUAUAAACCUCAAAUGAUGAAUUGAGGCUCCCCACACAUUUUGAUAUAUCUAUGAGAAAUCCCGAAUUUGAGAUUGUGAGUAUAUAGUAGUUAAUGCUCUUCACUACUAUAUUACGAUAUUAUCGUAGCUUUUACUCAAUUCAUAUUUCAUGUCCAUUUAAUAGGGGCAAAUAAAUUCUGAGUUUGUGUUUAGCCAGGCCAAAAGUUCCGGGCUCCCAUACGUUGAAAUAUGAAAUUUGGGAGAGUCGAUGUGGUUAUUUGAACCUAUAAGGCACAAGGUUUCAAACCGUCAUUUUGAAAAGACGUAAAAACCACAGGUGCAAGUUUAAGAAUGUGCGCAAUUAUUAUAACAGGAACAUACAACAGAUAGAUUUUUUCCACCUGCAAUGAAGGUGCAGGCCCUGUAAAAUCUAUAAAAUUACAUUAUGUUCUAGAAGCCUCUGAAGGAAGUUGAGUUGAAACACAGUUGCUCCAAUCAAGUUUUGCAAAGGCAAUAUCUAUAGGAGGAAAUAUGGCUACAGUUUUUCAGGAUCCCAAUAUCUUUUCGGAUCCCCAUAUUAUCUUUUUCUUUCCCAGAUUCCAAAACUUCACGUGGCCUCCAUUAAUGUUUGUCGGCACUUUCGGCGUUUUCAAAGUAUUAUUUUCAUCAAAAGCCGAUCUUGCUUUACGGAUUUCAUGGAGCUACUUUUUCAAAAGUACCCCGAGAAUCUCGCAAUUUUCCUAUGGUUAAUUUGAAAUUCACCGGUUCUACCUAUUCAUUGUAUUUGUGUAUAAAUGUGUUACUAACGAAAUUUUCUUUGCAGAAGACAUCCAGUUUUCUCCAUACCUAGUGAUGCGAUAUCUACUUGUUUUUCUUAUCAGUGAGCACUUAAUAUGCCUGAGAAGCAAGACUAUCUCUGAUCAUCCAUUCAGGAAGCGAGACUAUCCCUGAUCACGUUUCCGCUACAUCAGGAAACUGUGAAGGCGAUCUUAUGCUCUAAUCUCCGGAAGUCCUUCUAGACUAGGAGAUAUGAGAGCUUAUUGUCUGCUCCCACCAGCUUCCUUCCCUGAUUGCUUACCUUCUCUUUUUGCAUUUUUUCUCUUUCUGUAACUCUCUGAGGAUUAUUUGUUUUUGACAGAGAAAAGAGUUAUGAUUUUACCAUUGCAGGAUAUAACUAGAUCAUCAAGCGCUACAUUUACUGGGUCGAUACAAGCUUGAAUGAUACUUGAGAAAAGUUUCUCCCACCUAAGGAUGUAAGCAAUACUUGUGUUAUUUUUUGCUUAUAUACUUAUUUGAUAUUUUAUCUUGAAAGGUAACCAAAUGGGAAGAUAAGUCCGUUCCAAAAGAAUGGCUUGUAUGUAUCCAUGAAUUAUUAAUGCAAAUUUUACAGAUUGCAAGUUGGAUACAUUGAUAAUACACUGCACAGAUUAAUGUACCAUAAGAACCGAAUAUGGGUAUAGCAGUGAUCAAUAUGAUGCACGCCUGUUGCGUAGCAAAUGAUAUGGAUUGAAGUCCCGAAAGGACAAUCCUUUGACAUGUCAAUAUUGAUAUUAUGCAUGCCUAAUGCGUAGCAAAUUAUAUGGGUUAAAGUCCCAUAAUAUGGGUUAAAGUCCCAGAAAUUAAUUGACAUGUAUGUAUUAAUCUGUGGCAUGCCUGCAGCAUGACAGAUAUAUGGGUGCACGCCUGUUGCGUAGCAAAUGAUAUGGAUUGAAGUCCCGAAAGGACAAUCCUUUGACAUGUCAAUAUUGAUAUUAUGCACGCCUAAUGCGUAGCAAAUUAUAUGGGUUAAAGUCCCAGAAAUUAAUUGACAUGUAUGUAUUAAUUUGUGGCAUGCCUGCAGCAUGACAGAUAUAUGGGUUCUAAAUAUUCCAACUCUCUAAAUAGAGAUUAUCCACGCCCUACUGUAAAAUAACGUUCCAUUGGAGGUUAUAAUCCACAUUCUCACAUAAUAAAAGCCCCAUGAAGUGGCUUGGGUACCCAAAAGCAAAAGAAAUGCUUAUAAUUGAUGCAUGCGCAUGCACAUGAGAAUUGUGAGAUUAUGAAUUGAUGAAUGACAAUUUUUGGUUUUGGAGUAGCUACUCAAAUCAUCAUUGGCCAAAAUGGAACGAGGUAAUUCCAUUAUAAAUGAGAAUGAACGUGAAAGAACAAACCCACAAUACGAACCCCAAAAUUUGUUAAUACUGAAUUUAUACUUGGGUGUUCGGAAUAAAAGGGAAUAUACCUACUUUGUAUGACACACUGUUUCUGGCAGAAACAAAGAAUGUUGAGUUUUCUCCAUAUUUACAGAUUCAAUUGUGCCCCCCCUUAUUACACAAUUACGGAGACCAACAUAUUAUCUUUAAGGGUUAUUAAAUGCACAGAGCAUAUCGCCAGAAGCGAUUCCCUAAAGAUGUAUAAAUAGCUGGGUUAAAGCUAUAUAAUGUGUCAUAAAGUUUAAUCCCUUUUAGACAAAAUCCGUUGAGAGGAUUGACAUUGCAUAAAGCAAGUCCCUAAAGGACAUGUGCUUGAAGCACAAAAUUUGUACUCAAUAUUAAUAUGCAUAAAUUACCUCAGUGAGUACAUUGAUUAUAAUGUGAUUGCAACACAUUAAAGCUUCUGCAGAAUUCACGAAAUAUUUGUUUCGACUUAAGGAUCGAGCAUUAUGCCAACGAGAUUCUUGCUUAUACUAAGAAAGUAUUGAAGCAUUUUUAUGAGGAUUAUCCGUUGGACACUUUAAUGAUUUUCCGGAAGUAUAUUGGACCGGACAUCAUAUUUUCCAGACAGGGCUCACCUCCAUCACCAUCAUUUUGGGAUGAUGUGAGGUAUAUUUGAUGCUAUCUCCGCAUAACACCAUGUAAGGGCAUAUUCUUUCAAGUGAACUUACAAAUAGCCCAAGUUUUGUUAGAAAUGCAGACUCUGAAAAUUUCUAUGAUUUACAUAGAGAUAGCUCACUGGAAAUAUAUUUACUUACUCAACUACGAGAAUUAUUAAUGGCUAUAUCCUCCACUCACUCCGAAAGAUUCUCACUCCAAAAGAUAGUCAUGAAGACAUCAGGGGGAGAUAUUAAUCAGGGGGAGCAUCCAGAAGUAUGCUAUACAGAUUGCUGUACUCUUUUUUGCUUGGUUUUAAUGAGGCAACCAAUCUAUGGACAUGUGGUCUCCAAGGAGGAGUGUUGUAAAGAAGAAUAAGUAAAGAAGAAUAGGUGAAGCUCACAUAGCCAACUAACAUCCACUAAACCUAACCACACACCCACCAAACCAAACCAAUACCCAAUUGAUUGAAGAAUAUUAAUGAUGUUGUUGAUUGAAGAAUAUUAAUGAUGUUGUUGAUUGAAGAAUAUUAAUGAUGUUGUUGAUUGAAGAAUAUUAAUGAUGUUGUCUACCACUUAUAUUGUGAGGUGAACAACCAAUGUCUUAGGCCUAUAAAUAGAUACCUCCAUCAAGAGAAGUACACACAUAUAGAAGAGGAAGAGAAGGAAGAAUGAGGGUGAGUGAGUUGAGAGGAAAGAGAGCAAGAGAGAAAUUCUCCAAGAGAGAAAAUUGAGUGAGCCAUACAUAUUGUAAACACUAAAGUUGUAGCCAUAUUAUUUCAUAUAGUGAAAAGUUACUGUUGCUGCUCUCCGAGGACGUAGGCAUAGCCGAACCUCGUUAAAUACUGUGUCUCAUCUACUUUACGUGCAGCUCAAUAUUCGCACAUAUCUCAGUUCAUUUUAUAACAAUAUCUAUCAUUGAAAAUCUUUGGAGUCCUGGUUUAGUUUUUGGUCGAAUCUUCGGGCCCUUUCUUUUUUUUUUUUUUUGGUCUGGUAUUGGGCUUGGUCUUUGUUCGUCAUACUUGUCCAUUUUGUGUUUUUUUUUUUUUGGGCAUUAACCCACUUGUCCAUUUUUUUGGCUCUCUUAUUCCCCCUUACUAAAAGUAAAUUUCCAACUCCACAUAUUUUCUUCUCAUUUAUUUCUCUGUCACUUCAUCUCUUAUUUUAUUUUCUUUCGUACCUCUAUUUUGAUUCCAAAACAUACAAUAGAAAACGCUCAUUAGCACUCGCGCGAGCUGGUGCCAAGAGUUAAGCAAAUACUUUAGGGAGUUUUUGUUUAAAAUCAAUAGGAAGUUUACUAUUCUGGUUGAUGAUAAUCUAAUUUCACAUCAUCUAGAAAGGUCAAUGACUAAAAUAUAGUAUCCGAUCAUACAUAUAUUGUCACUCCUAUAUUUUAAUAAAUUUAUUUAAAGUCAAUCAUACAACGCCACAUGUCCAAGACCCACCUCCAGCCAAUCACCCACUGCCACAACUUCAAGUGCCCUUUAUUCACUCUAAAAAAAAGCAAAUUUUAUGUACUUAAAGAGACUUGAACCUUGACACUCAAAAGAGAAACUUCAAUUGCAAACUACUACACUGUCAUAGUUUCUUUUCUAUUCUAUAAACCUUUGACUUUUAUAUUAGUAUUUUUACGUUACUCUUAUAUUGAUAUUUUUUAAGUUUAUAAAAUAUAAUUUGCAAUACAGCGUCUUUAUUCCUUUUGGCUCGUAUCAAGGGCAGACCCAAGUUUAGGAUUGGGUGGGAUGUAGUCCAGUGCCACAAUUGAAAGUCUAAAAAGUUGGCCUUAGUACUUACUUACCCUAGAUUAGAAUGAUUCAAAGGCCAUAACCAUACAAAUCCAACCCAAAUCAACUUUCUAAUUAUCUUGUACACCGUCAAUUGAGCACACAGUUGGCACUACUUGUCCCAAAAAAUUGAUGAAUGAUUGGAGAGAGAGAGAGAGAGAGAGAGAGAGAGAGAGAGAGAGAGGCUUUGUUUUUUCUUUCCCACACAUCGUCACAUGGAGAUGCAUACGCAACUUGCCAUGUGGAGUGUGUUUGAGCUUUUGAUGGAUGCCGAGUAGGCAAUAAUAAUAAAAACCACGUUCCUCAAUUCCGUCUCAACAAAGUCAUUAGUCAAUAGCGACAAGUUGAUAAUUAACAGACGUGCUCUGCAUGACGCGGUCUCCCUCAAAUCUUAAUUAUAAUUGUAUCUUCUACAUCUAAAUGCGCGUUUAGCUCAGCAGCAUCACCGACUAUAUCCUCUCUUUCCUUCAAUCCAUUUUGCCUUAAUUUUCAAUUUGGAGGGCCCAUAAACCAUGUGAGUUCGUCCCACACAUCUUUUUCUCUGUCAAUUUAGUUUGAUAGUUAGGUCAUGGAUCUUAAGUAGGACAGUUUACUGCCCAAAAACAAUCUUAUUCGAUUUAGAAGUAAGGAUGGUUAGUUAGAGCACUUCCACCUUCAUUCUCUUUUAUCAUAACAAAUGGGGGCCUACACUACAAAAAUAAUAUCUCUUCAAAGAAAAAUUGUCAUGGUAAGAAGUGAGCUAUAAAACUGGGCAAGCUCAAAGGCAAGACUUGCUUGGGCAAGUUGACAUCAUGUCGACGUCAGUGUGACGUCAACGACCAAUUUAAAUACAAAAAAAUUUUAAAAAAAGAAUAAAUACCUAGUCAUAUUCUUCACUUCUCACAUCAAAAUCCAUACAAAUUCUUCUCUUCAUAUCCCAUGUGAAUAGUGGUUGCCCUUUGGUUGCCAUGGCAAUGGGUGGGAAUGCAUCAAAAAAAUUGCUAGGGCAAAUACUAUUCACAUGAAUAAUGUCUGCCCUUACUUGGCCUUACUCUUUGCCAUGGCACAACGGGUGGAAGUGCUCUUAAUUUGACCACAUUUUUCUUUUGUUUAAAAAAAUUGUUGAUACAUAAUCUGGCUCGAGCCAAUUGACCAUUAAUAGAACGCCACAUGAGCAACCUCGUCAAUAAAUACCUCACCACUUGGUCACCUUACCCGACCAUACUCAAGGAUUGCCCAAUUUGAUACAUGACCAAUGUUGAUGUUUGGUUCACUUGAAGAUGCGAAAUGAGUGAAGGAAACAGACGAUCAAAGAGGUGCAACAGUUUGACUAGGCUCUGCCGCUUGAGCAUAAUCUACAAGCGCUCGAGCGGCAGAGCGAUACUUCUCAUCCAAACCAAUGAGCUCGAGGGGCAUAGCUCAGACUCGAGCGGACACUGGCGCUCAAGCAGGACACGCAAAUCCAGUGCAUAUCCCUAGCGAAUCUGGACAUAUUUUCUCUUAGUUUUGGAGUCCUUUAAGUUUCAUAUUCCUUCUAUAAUUGUACUAAAGCCCUAUGACAUCUAAAUAGGCACUUUAACGCUAGGUUCUUAAGACGUGAGAAAGCUAAGGCAUCAAAUUGAAUUUGAGACAAGGGUGAGAGAAAAGAGAGGUAGGGUUUGUGAGAGAUCAAAGGGGGUUCUUCAUUGUAACCAAAUGGGUUCUUUCAUACUAGUGAAUUUCUCAGAACCUCUAUAAAUUCUUGUGUUCUUUGUGUGCGUGUUUACUUUGUGGUUUCGUGUGUGCUUUAUCUUUGCGUGGCUUAUGUGUGAUAGUUGCGUUGUCCAUCAACGACAAGGUCUUAGAGUGCUUUUGCACAACAACCACGUGGUGCUGAUUCAGAUCAGAUCGACUUGCUCAACCGACUAUGACACUUAAUUAAAACAAAUGUUAAUCUCUCCAAGCAAGACGUGGUUGACCAAAGUAUGAGUAUUUGGAGCUUAGUUACCAACCACUUCCUUAGACAAGAGUAAUAACUUCAUAACUCUCAAAAAAUUUGUCCAUUUUCACUCUAAAACACUAUCUACUUCACUCUGACUGUGGCGUCGAAGAGGGUUGGCUAGUAUCACACCAGUACUCCCGUAAUGACCCUUUUUUUCUUUUAUGCAUAUCAUUCCAAUUAAGAAGGGAAGACAUUACCCUCCAUACCGACCCGAUACACGCCUGACUUUAACCUAGUCUAUGUCUGAAGUUGACCAUUCAAAAUCAAGCGUCAAUAAAUUUCUUACUUUUACCAACUCUCUUUAUACAGACAAACUCACACAACAUGCACUGUUACAAGAUAUACACGGGCUCAAACCCAAGACAUUGACCCAAGUUGGGUAAGAUGUUGAUGAUCAGACUGGGCGUGUAUGAGGGAAAAAGAAGCUCGGUUAUUCAUUAUAGGAGUUGUACAUGAUUACAAGGGAGAAUGUGCAUAAGCAUUUAGAAGAAAUAAGGAGUUACAUAUGCAGUAGAGAGUUAUGAAAUUGUAGAAGAAAGAAAGGGUGGUAAUUCCCCUCUUUGUUGUACCAAAACCUCCUUUUAUAUGCAAGGGGAUAAGGUGCAAUCUUUUCAAUAUGAGGAGUAGCAGCUCCUUUCCGACCAAGUGGAUAACUGGCAAGUAAUCGCAUCCGAACAUGGGCUCCAACUGUAUGCUGACACAUGGAUUGUCAGAGGAUUCCCAUAUAGCUUCUUGAGGCGGCAGCACUAUGGGAUACUCUGACCUCCCUUCCUUCUCGAAUGAGGUCGAGUAAACGGUCAAUGAAAAGCUUAGGGCCCGUUCGGUAACGUUUUCGGAGAAUGUUUUCUUAGAAUAUUUUCAGAGAAUGAAAACAAGAAAACGAAUUUGCAUUUUCAGGAAAUGAAAAUGCUUCUGGUAGAUUAAUUAGAAAACAUAUUCAGAAAAUAAAAACAAUGAAAACGUGUCUGGUAGUACAAUUUGAAAUAAUAAUAUGUGAGUUAUUUUUAUGAAAACGUUUCCCAUGAGAAUGAAAACAAUUUUUUUUUUUUCUGUUUUCUACGAGUAUACAUGAACUUGUUUUCAUUUUAUGAAAACAUUCUCAGUGUUUUCUGUUUUUAGGCUACCGGACGUGUUUUUGCCUCAUUUUUGUUCUCUGAAAAUGAAAAACAACCCAUUUAAACGUUACCGAAUUGGCCCUUCUGGUCUGAUGCGGUGAUGUGAAAUGGAGGCGCCUUCACCGCUCUAGGUGGGUCUCGUGCAAGCUGGGAUUUAGAUAGAAGACCCCGUUGGCUGGUCAGAUCACUUAUGAGUUUGGUGCUAGGUUCGCGUCCACGUGGCAAGAUUUAGUAAUUUAUCCGGCUCGAUCAGUCCUACAUACAUGAACCGUGAUUGAUAAUUUUCAUAGUUAAAAUAAUUAGAGCAGAGCAUUUAAAUAAAAUUUUAAUUGAUAAAUUCCAAAUGUGAACCUACUUGCUAUUAUUGGUUCUCCCUAGAGGUAAAAAUUUUGGGUAUGAUAUUACAAAACAAUAUGGUCAGAUUGUGAACGUACUUGCUAUAAUGGGAUUUAGAUAUUAAUGUCCAAAUGGAUAAUAUUCAAGUACUAAAAUAUCAAAAAUAUUGAUGAAAUAUUGAGGAUAUUAUCAUUUUUUGGGGUCUAUGAUAUUCUGGAACAUAUCCAUACACAUCGUAUAAGUAUCGAUAAUAUCGACAAUAAUAUCAAAAAAUAUUAACGUCGAUAAUUUAUCUCACACUUCAGCAAUAUUUGGCCAAAAUAUCGCUAUAAUAUCGAUAAUAUCGAGAUGAUGAAGACAAUGAAAAAUUUAAAGAAUUAUUUACACUAACACCCCUUGAGGUUUCUUGUGUUUUCACAAAACCCCCUCAGGUCUCAAAAAUUACACAAACACCCCCCUGAGGUUUUAUUUUGUUUUCACAAAACCCCUUUUCAUUGAUUGUUUGUCCAAAAAUUGAUGAUUUCAUUAUAAAAAAAACUUACGCAAAUGAGAAAAUUAACCUCAAUGAACUAUAUGCAAUCUAAUCUCAAAGGCCAACUUUGUCAUUUGGAGAAUUUUUUUUGUAUAAAAUCAUCAAUCUUUGAAUGAAAAAUAAAUGAAAAUGAGUUUUGUGAAAACAAUUUAAAACCUCAAUGGGCGUUCUUGUAAUUUCUAAAACCUCAAGAAGUUUGUGAAAAUGCCAAAAACCUCAGGAGGUGUUAGUGUAAAUAACUCAAAUUUAAAGCUUAUAGGAACUCUAUUUGGUACUAAGUCACUCAUGUAUCUUACCAUGCAAUGUAUAAAGUGUAAAAUAUUGUAGUAAAUCAUUAUAAAUAAAUGAUUAUGGUGUGUUUAAUCUUCUUUCAUUAAUUACUACAUAUUUUGUUUACUCACAGCAUUUGUUAGCUCGCUAUAUAAUCAACUUAAAUCAGUUAAACCCAUUAUGCAAUGUAUUUCCUUUAAAUUUUUUGUGACAAAGUAAUAGAUAAUUGACUAAAUAAACUUCCUCCAAAGUUUUAAGAAAAAUUUCCAAGUUUUUCUUACAAUUUCUGUGGUUUUUAUUCAAAUUUUAUCGAUAUCAAUAAUAUCCCGAUAUUUCCAUUAUAAUUUGUUUUUGAACCACCAAUAUUUCCAAAACCAUCUAUAUUUUAAACCUUGAUAACAUUAUUUUCUUAAGAACGCAUAAUUCAUAUAUAAUAUAUAAAUUAUUGUUAAUUACCAUAUGCGAACCUAGUUUAUUACAAUACAUUUUUUCGCAUAGGUAGAAUUGCAUUCUAUGUAAUGGUACUGUUAGACGAGAACCUAACCUGGGACAUAACUUAUUGGCUCUACAAAACGUAAUGGUAGAUAAGCACCUUAAAAACAUUUCCACAUCGCCUGGUCAUGACCAUCAUUUGCAGGCACAACUUUUCUCUUUGUUCUCUACACCAAAGGGACCGCCAAUUUGUUAUUGUUCUUACACUGAAUGUCUUUCAGAAAAAGACCACUAUUUUUUCUAAACACUUUGGCUUGGCUAUCUAGUUUAUGUCUAAUAAAUUUUGUGUGGCUUAUUGUAUAUUAUUAGUUGUUUAUUGGUGACUUCUUUUUUAAUUUUAAAUGACGAAUAUUGAGUCAACGGGGUUUAGCUUAAUAAAAAAAAAAAGUAUUGAUUUGCAAAUCAAUGGUCUUAAGUUCGAACCUCCAUGACACACUGGCAGUGUGAGUGUGUGUGAGCAAAUUCUCUUCCCCUUGUAGUUUGGAAUAUCACUUGUAUUCAAAAAAAAAAAAUUACGAAUAUUGUUAAGAUUCCAACAAGAUUUCUAAUCAUUUUGAAAUAAUAGUCUAAACUACAGGGGAUGAGGGUUUCUCACAUACACUCAUACUAUCAAGGUGCCUAUUAGGGGUUCGAACCUAUGCAAGUUAAUACCUUUUUCUACUGGGUCAGACACAAUUAACGUAUGUUUGUGUUACUAAAUGAGUUUAUUGUGUGUCUUUCUUAAUCUUAUAGUUAUUUAAGUUUAGCAUCCCAUGACAAAAUUUCCAUCAUAUAAAGAAAAUUAAGGUCGUUGCUAGCUUAUAAAUGGAUAUGGUUACUGAUUAACGCAAUUGGAUAAGAUAUAAACAUAAACAUAAGUUCAUACAAACAAACAAAAAUUGCAUCAGAAUGCAGUUUCAUUAACAGAAAAAAAUAAUAAUAAUAAUUAGAGGGUGAAAUGUCAACGAAGAAAAAGUAUGGAGGGUAAAAUGAGCAAAAAGAAGUUCAUCAAACAGAAAUUGUACCUCCCUUUAGAUAUAUAACUUGGGUAAAUUGCGAAAAUGGUCCUCAAACUUGUAUGCGAUUUACAUUUUGGUCCUUAAAUUAAAUUAUUAGUCCAAAUGGCACAUAAACUCUAUUUUAAUCGCUCAUUUGAUCCAACCGUUACAUUUUCUGUUAAAUGUAACCAAAUUUUAGGGGUAAAUACGACUUUUCAUAAUUAACAAAUAAAAUAGGGUUAAAAUAAAUAUAAAAUUAGAAAAUAAUUGAAGAAAAAGAGAGGAAAAAAUCAUGAGACCCAAACCCCCUCCCUUCGAUUUCUUCUCCCCUAUUCCAAUUACUGAGUUUUUAUUUUAUUUUAUAUUAUUUUUUUAUUUUAACAUAAGAAAUGACCAAUUUGCCCUCAUAUUUAACAGCAAUAUUGACAGAAUGUAACGGUUGGAUCAAAUGGGCGAUUAACAUAGAGUUUAUGUGCCAUUUGGACUAAUAAUUUAAUUUAGGGACCAAAAUAUAAAUCGCAUACAAGUUUGAGGACCAUUUUCGCAAUUUACCCUAUAUAACUUACUAUGAAGGUGUUAUGAGGUUCAAAUUUGAAACUAUAGUCUAUAAGUUAACUUUUUUUUUUUCAUUGAGUCCCAUUGACAACUCUUCUAAAUAUUUAAUUAUCUUUUUCAACUAAAUAUAUUUUCAGACAUUCAUUCACUAUAUUUAUACUAAUCAAGUCCUUUUUUAUGCAUAACACAAGACCCCUUACCUCUUUUCCUCUUCCCCAUUUAUUAAAAAGGAAAAUUUGUAUAAAUACUACUUAAACUAUUAGGUAUGUGCACGAUUACUACAUGUGUUGCGGUUAAGAAGAUAGACCAUUGGUUAGUCUAACAAUCGAACUCUUAUGUGAAGAGAUGUUUGUCUAAGAGCAUCUCCAACAACCUCUUCAACAACUUUAGAAUGUUAAAAUUGGUGAGCCACAUCAUCAAAACCUCUCUAACUACUUUGUCAAACUCAGUCAUCAAAGGUACAACCUCUUUCUCUCUUUUCAGAACUGGUAAGUUGACAUUGGCUCUUUUUUUUUUCUUUUUUUUUUCCCUUGAAAAUUGACCUUGGCUCUUCAAAACAUUUAAUUUUACUUUGAAAAAACAAAACCUACCUUGAAAAUGUUAAAAACAUGCAUUUUUUUCUUUUCAAAUAAUAAAUACAUAGACAUUUUUCACAUGUUUUCAUAUUUAUUUUUUUAAAUUAUUAAAGUAGCAAAUAAAUCAUUUCAAAUUGCCAUAUAGGUCAACCAACUUUAGUUUGAAGAGUUCAGUUUGCUACUACUAUUGAAGAUGCUAUGAUCUUCUAGUACAUAGCUUGAUUUUUUUUUUAUUUACUUGUUUUUCUCCUCUCAUAAAUAAAAAGUUUAAUUACACCAAUACUCCCUGAAACUUCGAUCAAAUCUCACUUUGCCCCUCCAAACUCAAAUUGCCCACUUUCAUUCCUUGACGGAGGUUUGGUGACCCGUUUUACCCCUAUCGUCAACUCCAUCCGAAAAUUUGUUAACUUUGAUGAUGUGACAUGAGUGUUUUUGUAAUUUCGUACACAUAAAUCAUUAUCCACCAAUUAAGUAGGUGACGUGGCAAGUAGAGCCCACCUCACCUAGAUGAAAAAGAAAAACAUUAUUUUAUAUAUGUUUUUUUAAAACAAGGAAAAUGAAUCAAACCUAAAAGUUUCUUAAAAAAAAAAAAAACCCCUAACAACCAAGACAUCAAUCUUCUUCUUCAAUCAAAUUUCCAAAAAAACUCACCCACACCCCUUCCACCGCUCAUCAGCUUCUCUCUCUCUCUCUCUCAUUCCUAAACCAAAUUCGUAGCCCCCCCCCCCCCUUUUCCGAUCUAGAGUAGAUGCGGCUCCUCCACGAUCCUAGAUCCCCACCCUACCUCUUUGACCCAAAACCACCCUCCUUUCCUCGACCCUAGAUCGGCAAGAUCGAGAUCUGACGACCAACAUGUAAUUGAAAGGUCGGAAAAAUGACAAAAGUACUGACAAUGAAGGAAAGAAAGCAAAACUAAAUGCCUGUCGAUACCAAAACCUGCACCAAAGACAAUGUUAAUUGAUUAUUUAAUUUUUUUUAUUUUAUCAACUGAUGUGGAGGGUGGUUUGGGUCGGGGAGGUGGGGUGGGGUGGGGAUCUGGGGUUAGGGAGAAGGGGUAGCGGCUUUGGUUGGGGAGGGGGAUUGCAAAUUUGGUCCAAGAAGGUAGGGGGGAGAGAGAGAGAGAGAGAGAGAAGGGGGGUGGUGUUGGGCGGUUGGAAUGGGGGAGGGGUGGAAAGGGGGGUGGGUCGGGUUGGUUUAGAGCAAGUCCAGCGGUAGAGGCUGGCCCAAGCAAAAGGCAAAAAGGAGUCCGAGUCCAGCUCCAGCGCAAGCAAUCUAGCCCGGGCAAGCUGCGGGUCCCACGAGCCCGGGCAGGCCCAAGGGCGAAAUCAGACUGGGCUCGAGCCCGAGUUGAGCUGACGUCAGCGCACUAAAAUCAAAUUUUUUUACUGUUGGCGCGUGUAAUACACGCGCCAACGGUAAGAAAAAUUUGACUGAAGUGUGCUGACGUCGUCGUGACGUCAUCGAUGAUGUCAGCUCCAACGGCUACUGCCACGUGUCGUCACCAGGUGGCUCCGAUUGGAUUUUUUUCAGAAAUCCUACAGUUCUCAUUUUUUUGGCCAAAAAAAUUUAUAAAAAUCCAAAUAAAUUCGAAAAAAUUCUGAAAUUUUUUUAAAAAAAAUACCAAAAAUGUAUGUAUUUUUUCCCUAUAAAUACCUAACCAUUUUAUCUACUUUCAACACCAAAUCUUCAUACAAUUUCUUCUCCAUACAAUAUUUUCUACUCUCCACUCACAUAAUUCAUUUUCCACACCAAAUCUCCAUACAAACUCAUCUCCUUCCAAUAUUUUUUACUCUCUACUCAUAUUUUUAUUAAUGAAUAUCCGAAAAUUUUAUCUGGAAUAAGACACGUGGCAACCGAGAUGCACAUCCGAAAAUCUUAUCCGAAAAUUUAAUUAAAAAGAUUAUCAAAAUUAAUGAUUUAAAGUAUAAAAAAAUAGGAAANNNNNNNNNNNNNNNNNNNNNNNNNNNNNNNNNNNNNNNNNNNNNNNNNNNNNNNNNNNNNNNNNNNNNNNNNNNNNNNNNNNNNNNNNNNNNNNNNNNNCUUUAAACCAUUAAUUUUGAUAAUCUUUUGUAAUUAAAUUUUCGGAUAAUAUUUUUGGUUGUCACGUGUCCAUUGUUUUAAGAAAAGAUUUUCGGAUGAGAAUCUCGAUUGCCACGUGUCUUAUUCCAGAUAAAAUUUUCGGAUAUUCAUUAAAAAAAAUUAUAAUCUCAGAUUUCAUAUAACAUUUUCACCCUCUAAAAUUGUACCACGUGUCCCAUGUCAGAUAAGAUUUUCAGAUAUUUUAAAAAAAUUAUAAUCUCAUAUUUCAGAUAAGAUUUUUUUUUUCUUUCUACAAAUGGAAAGUAGUAGAAAAAUGUGAGUGGAGGAUAAAAAAUAUUGGAAGGAGAAGAGUUUGUAUGGAGAAUUGGUGUGGGAAGUGAAAAAUGUGAGUGAAGAGUAAGAAAUAUUGGAAGAAGAAUAGUUUGUGUGGAGAAUUGGUGAGGAAAGUGAAUAAUGUGAGUGGAGAGUAAAAAAUAUUGGGGAUGGAGAAGAAUUGUAUGAAGAUUUUGUGUGGAAAGUAAAUAAAAUGGUUAGGUAUUUAUAGGGAAAAAAUACAUAAUUUUUUGGUAUUUUUUAAAAAAAAUUUCAGAAUUUUUCAGAAUUUUUUUGCAAUUUUUUUAGCAAAAAAAACGAGGACCGUCGGAUUUCUGGAAAAAAAUCCAUCGGAGCGUCCCUGGCGCGACACGUGGCUUGUUACAGUUGGUUGCUGUCAGGGAUGACGUCAGCAUGACGUCAUCCAACUCGGGCUGAAGCCCAGGCUGAAGUUGCCCUUGGGCCUGCCCGGGCUCGUGGGACCCAGCAGCUGCCCGGGCUCUCUUCCUCGCGCUGGAGCUGUGUUGGGCUCGCCUGGGGGCCCUUCUACCCGGGUUGGGUCUUGCGCUGCCAGUGCUCUUAGAGGAGAGAGAGUUUUUUUAAUAUUUAAUUUUUUUAGUUAUUAAUUGACUAUUUAUUUUUUUUAAUUGUUAAUUAAUUAUUUAAUUUGUUAUCUUUUAUAUUUUAUUUUUAUCAGUUGAUGUGGCACAAUAAGUCUGAAUUUAGGUGGGUCAUUGAUUAUUGAUGUACAAAAUUACAAAAACACAUGUACCACAUAAUCAAAGUUAACAAAUUUUUGAUGGAGUUACAGCAUAAAGUAAAGUGGGGGGUACGAAAUCUCGGUCAAAAGAUGAAAGUGAGCUAUUUUAAGUUUAAAAAGACAAAAUAAAAUUUAACCGAAAUUUCAAAAACAUUAAUGUAAUUAAGCCUAAAUAAAAUAAUAUCCUUGAUUCUAUAAAUAAAUAAAGCCAAAAAGGAAAAUUGACUCGCUGCAACAUUUUACGAGGUCAGUUAUUGUACUUCAAUGCAGUUCACGGUUUUCUUUAUUAAAAAAAAACAGGUUAAGUCAGUUGUUUUUUUUAAUCCAAAUGGGUCAAUAAUUUAGUGUAUAAUAAGUUCUUAACAUUCCCAUUGCUGACAUAAACUCUAACUCGAUAAGCGAGGCAAAUAUCUAAAUCUCAGAUCGCCGGCAGCCAACCCAAAAAUGAAAAAUAAAUAAAUAAAAUAAAAAGAAAACGAAAAAAAGUCAGAGACAAACAUGUCGGUGAUGCAUAUAUUUUAUUUAUGCAAUACAAUUCUGUUUGGUUUUUUUUGUUUUUUAGUUGAAAAAGGCCAAAAAUAGAUCUACUUUCAACAUUUACAGCUGCCCUUCCCUUUUACUUUGAACAAAUUUUUGGAUGAGAAUUUUAAUGGGUCGAGCCGACACAUUUGUCAUUAAAUAUUCAACGGAAAUAAACAUGUCAUCAGAAUUAUUCUAAUACAUCUCUAGUGUGUCAUUAUGGUCAAAUCCCGUCAUUUUUCAUGCAGAAUUUUCAACUGGCUUGGGCAACUAAGCCGUUUGUCACUCUCAUAUGUAUUUGACACAUUUCCAUUACUUGGUCACUCCAAGUAGUUGUCAUUCAAAUUAUUCAAUAAAUAUAUUGUGAGGAAUGAAUUAGUCAACCUUCAGAAAGGUCCUUUGUGCCAUGAAAUUAAGAAAAGAAAGACAAUCGUAAGUUCUUGUGGACACUAGUGCGGUGAGUUAAAAGAUCACUAAUGCCUAAGUCAGUAGUGUUGUACAGAGAGAAUUAGGGUUUCUUAGUUCAAUAAACAAUUACCUUCUCUAAGAGAUAGAGGUUGGUUUAUAUUUGACCCUUUGAUGGUUGAUUUACCAUUGCGAGAGGCUACAUGUUUGACGUUGAUUGGGAGUCAGCGUAAUCUCCUUAGUUAUUGUUGAUGCAGUUAUUAAAGAUAUCCCUAAUAUUUUGGGUUGAUGCUUUGGUGAUGUGCCGCCUAAGGAUAAGUCAUCUUUGAGCUUAUCCCCUUAUGCCUUACAUGAUCUAGGCUUAGAUCAGACAUGUCCAGUUUGACAUUGCUGUGCUGUAAAAAUAAUCACUUUUAGAUUUACUGUGAAAGAAAUCAGCUGUGAGAUAAAGCAAUUUGACGUUUGGUAAACUUUUUGUUAGAAGUGCGGUUGGUAAUAAAUAAAUAAAAGGGGGUUAUUUUUGAAAAUUUGAAAGUUUCAUUAAAUCCAGCGCCUCUUCAAAACUGUUUCCUAGAUAAUCAAAAAAUAAAAGCAGCUCAUCACCUGCUUUCCUUAAUUACUUUCUCUCACAGCAAUUAUUCAAAAUAAGUGAUUUUAUUAUCUUUUAUCAAAUAGGUUGAGCUUUCAAAAUUUUUAAAAUAAUCACUUAUAGCCCCAAAUAAGCAAAUGCCAAACGAACACGCAUGUGUUGAAUUGGCUUGUCUAUGGGCUUUUGCCUAACGAAAUGUCUUGCGAUGCUUGAUUGAUUGGAUGUUUUGUAUUUCUCCCGCCCCACACUAAGGGCAAUUUGGUCCAUGUGGAUGCUUUUUUGUAUACGAAGUGGCUUUCCCACAGAUAUCAUGUUAGUGUAAAUGACAAAAUACAUAGAAUCUUAUCUCCCCUUAACCAAGAAAAGGAUAUGGAAUAUUUUGGUUCGGUUGCUUUACAAAAACAUUAUUAUUAUUUUCUAGAUACAAAAAUAUUAUUCAAUAUAACGAAAAUAAUGUUAUAAAUGAACCCUCAAUUCAAAUACCAAAAACUUCAAACUAUAAUUUUUGUUUUUAAAAAAAAAAUUCAAAUAGAAAUUUCAUUAGAUAAACUUUAACGGUACAAUCAUAGACAUUAACAAGACAUCUAAAGUACCAAUCCUAAGAGGGCAACAAACUAACAUGCUAAAAGCAAAACUAACGAGGACAAAAGCCACACUAAAACUACUAGCCCACAUCACCACAAUUAACCAUAAGCUUAAAUAAAGCCCACAAACUCAACAUAACCAAAAUACUAAAACAACCUAUGAAUCUAAACGAACACUACCACCACCACCUGAAGAAACGAUGUGGCGGCCACACCCACCACCACAUCCAUAACAUAUCUGGGGGAAAUAUGAUUUCCAGCAAUCAACUUGCGCAUAAGCACAAACAAAUAAACAAAAGCAACAACUUUGCCAAAGAAAAAUUGGGUGAUUUGCAGCAACUUCCGUCAAAGACGAUAUAGAAUCAAAUUUAGAGAACAUGAGCAGCGUUAGGAAGUGAGUUUUAGGAGAAUGAUUUGAUUGAUAACAUAGACUAAAAAAAGGUGAUGGGGAACUUCAAUCUAAGCAUGACUUAGAAAAAAUCAUCACAAUGGACUUUUUAUUCAAAACACUCCAGUUGACUUAUUCACUAACAUAAAAAGGAAAAGACGAUAAGAGAGGAUGGGGAGGAGGGAGCGGUGACGCUUCUUUCUCAUCCCCCUCUAUGGAGUUUUCCUUUAGAACUCGUAGAGGAAAAGAGCAGCUAGAAUUUCUGUCAACUACAGUUAUUACUUGAGAUGACUGAAUUUAUAAUUAUUCUAUACAUGUGCAUUUUCUCUUUCUUUUUUCCUUUUCCAUGCAUGUGAAUUUUCCUUGAGAACAAAAGUUUGAGAUUCUUGGAUUUCGAAGUUCAACUAAAUCAAGAAAUGUAAUCUUUGACCCCUUUCCUAGUUAAAGGAAAAGAAUUGCAAACCUCAAAUCCUCUUCGCUUCAACAUAUAUUAAGGAAUAUUUGAAAAAAUAACCCAUAAUUCAUAAAUAAUAUUGAGUUACAUCAUAUAGUGAAGGCAAUCACGUACAGAUAAGGUAUAAAUUCCAUGCCAUUUUCAACUUGGAACCUUCACUUUUUGAUUUCUGAUGUUAGCAAUCAAGUGACUCACCAACUUUACCAAAACAGCAUACACAUUAUUAUUAUUAUUAUUAUUUAAACAAACUUGUAACGGAGUUAACAUCACGUGACAAAUUAGAGAUUUUGAAAUAAUAAAAUGACAUCUCUUAAAUUUUUAUUUUUAUUUUUAUUUUUAUGACAGUAAAUUUGAAAAUGAUGUAUAUGUUUAUGUGGCAUUUCUAAAAAUUGAUGUAGGAUUUUGAAGGCUUUUUUUUGGGCUACCGUACAAAGGUGCUUUCAUUCUUCCAUUGAUUUUCUGAAUUUAAUAUAGUUUUUGUCUAGAAAAUAUCGCUGAUAAAGGAGGUGAUGAAUGAGCGCACAUAUUUUUGCCAAAGGACCAAACUUUGUCUUUUAUUUUUUAUUUUUCCUUAGAGGCUGCUAAAAUACCAAACUUCUUUUUUGGUCCAAAACUACCAAACUAUAAUAAUGGGUUCAGAAAGAAAGAAAAAUAACAUUGACGGUGGUGGCGACAUAUGAAGAUUUGAUUGAUUGCAGAAAGGUGGACAAGAAAUAAGAAUGAUAAAUAUAUAAAAAUGGUAAGAAAUCUUUUGAUUUUUCUGACUUUUGUGCCUUUUGGUGGUUCAACACCCACCACGCAUGUUUUAUUUUUAGUAUAAGUAAUAAUCUAAACUACAGAGGAGAAAUGUUUUUUUUAUAUAAAUGCACAAUCAAGAUUUUAUAGGAUUUAAACAUGAGACUUCUGGUCUGCAAGUCAAGGCCCUUGUUCAUUAAGCUAGACCAAAUUAACCUCCUACUGCACAAUUUAAAAAUAUAUAACUUAGUGCCAAACACUAGGGGUUGGGCGCAAUUUAAUUAGAAUAUGACUGAUUCAAUUUGGUUCACACUAAACUUACCAUAUAAUCAAACCCAUCCAAAAAUACUAACAAAAAUAAAAAUAAAAAACCAAUCCAUAAAUGGGAUUUUAGCAUAAAAGUCAAAUUUACCAACCUCCUAUUUGGCGUCUUAUGUCACUAAGAGCAUUCAUAAUGAGCUCUUUAAACCACAUAUUUAGACAAAUUUUAGAGAGUUAUUGGAAAAAUUCAACUCCAACCAUGCUUUCUAUCCACCUUUAAAAAUAGGGAGACUUCUAGGAGCUCUUAAAUUUGAGAAGAGAGAAAAAACUCAUAGUGACUCUAAUGUAUAAUUUAAUGUUGCUUUAUUUUAUGAGUAUUUUAAACCUUUAAUUAAUACUUACUAUUAUAUAUUUGACAGAGAUCGACCAAUUAAAGGAUUAAUACAACACUUACAUAUUCUUUUAAGUAAGACAUGUCUACCGGGAAACCAAUAUGGUAGUUGAUCUGGCCAUCAAUCAUGGCAAACUUAACCCUUGUAUUUGGUUUACUAACUUUUCAUUGUCCGUUUCUUUAAAGCUUAUGUAUGAUAACAAGAAUAUUGGGAUCCUUAGAUACUCCUUGUAAUUUAUUUCUUGUAAUUAUCGCUGUCAAUAUUUUCUGGCAUUAUCGACACUUAUACUGUAUGUGUAUGGAUAUGCUCCAAAAUACCCUAGACUCGAAAAAAUAAUAAUUUCGUCAAUAUUAUUGAUAUUUUAGUCCUUGAUCAUGGGUAUAAUUGUCUAAUCAUAGCUACUGCAAACAGUCGUGUUUUUAAAAUUUUUAUGUUGAUUCUUUAUUCUUUCUGUGGUUGGUUAGGCCCUCUCAAUUCAAAUGGCCUGCAACAAGUUAAAUUACUCAUGAUUUUUGUCCUUAUUAUUUGAAAGUUAGCAUGGAAGUUUUGAAUUUUGUGUGAUGUUUUAGGGCUUAUGAAUCGAUUAACUUUUUUCUUGGAGAAAAAGGGUGAAAUUGAAGAAUUUAACUUGUUGCUUGAUGAAGGAAAAAGAAAAAUAAAGGCAACAAAAGCAAAAGGAAAAGUUAUUGCACAUGUCCUAAAAAUGCAGCAUGUAGAAUCUAACGCAAUGUAAGUGCAUGGAUUUGUAAGGAAAAAGAAAUACUUCUCAAGCACAAAAAUAUAAAGUACUUUUAGAGCCAACAAAAACAACAUACCUAUUUUCUCUUAAUUAUGUAUAUUAAGUGUUCUAAUUCCACAAUGAAAAAAUUGAUUGAAGGAAUGUACUCUUAAUUUGUUGUAAUUUUCACAUUCUCAUUUUUUAUAGGGUUACACCUAAUUACUGUGCCAUCUACACCUAAUUACUGUGUAAUCAAUAGGUAAAGUGUAGCUUCGAGUUGAGUUAAAUUGUCAUAAUGCUUUUAAUAUAGGGUUAAAACGAAUUUGGUGAAUGAACAUUGACAAAAUCCGUGAAGAUAACAUGAUAUUAUUGUGUCAACUCAUAAGGUAAGGCUGAGCACUUACAUUGUUGUGCGCUUAUCAUGGCCACCAUGGCUAGACAAAGAACAAAAAAAGAGUUUGGAUCUUAGCAUGAUGUCAUAUCUUUAAUUAAAAUCGGAUUAUUGAUAUGUUUAUAUCGUUUUGGCGAAAAUAUAUAUUAAUAACAUGUUGUUAUGUUUUGUUGGCUACAAUAAUAUAAAUAUAUUACCAAUGAAAUAUACACAAUCCGAUCUAUAAUAAAAGAUUGACGUCCUUUAUGCAACCAAACUAAGAGUAGUUUUAUCAAUAUUUUUCUACUUUAAAUGAGUUUAAAAUCUAAAGAGUAAAAUAAAAAUGAUUGAAAUCAUUUUUCUUUAACUUAAAAUAAAACUUAAGCUCAAGUUCACCCUUUCACGCUGCAUUUGAAUGUCACUUAUACAAGACUUUGUCGUACGCUUUACAUCACAAUAAUAAAUCACAUCCAACCUACGUCAAAAAGAAAAACAAGAAAUAAUAUACAUAUAUAUCUAUACAGUCCCGAUCUCUUGGACCACAGGAGUCCAAGAGAUUGUGGUCACCCACCGUUGGAUAUUAAUUCAAUGGUUGAAAAAAGUUUUUUAAAAUGAGUGCAAGAGUGAGUGAACCGUUGAAUUUACAUCUAACGGUGAGUGACCACAAAUUUCUUGGACUCCUGUGGUCCAAGAGAUCAGGACUGUAUAUCUAUAUAUAAAGACAGAUCCCGCGAGCUUUAGGGGAAGGAUUAAUUGCCAAUGGACUCCAAUGGGUUUGGCUUAUUUUUAAUCACAUCCUAACAGUUCUAUGUUUUCUACUCUCACUUAUUUUUAACUGCGGUCACCCCAAUUCAAUUCAAUACUUUUUCUUUUGUAUAUAAUACUUAAAUGAUUAUUUAUUCAAAUGAUUCUCAAAUUUAUACCCAAGUUGUAUUUUGGCUUUUCAACUAAAUUAUUCGUUCAAAUGGUUCACCAUCUCUUUAGUAAUCGGUACAUUGGUCCUACUCUUACAUUUUUUUGAUAAAUUUAGUCAUGUGAGCAGCACAUACUACAGUUAUAAGAGUAAAUAAGACUUUUGACAAAUAAAAAAAUAAAAAAAUAUGAUUAACAAUUAAUAAAAAAAUUCUUUAUUUUUAAAUUAAUUAAAACUUUAAAAGAAUAAAAAAAACAAAAAGUAACCCUAAAAAGAACAACAACAAAAAAAGCCCACCCAAACCCACCCCUAUCUCAUCCUCCCCACUCCAAUCCCAACCCCCAUCUCAUCCUCCCAAUCCCAAUUCCAAUCCCAAUCUCAAUCCCAUUAGUCCAACAAAGUUCCAUUGUGGGUCUGCAACUCUCGUCAAAAAAAUUAAGGAAAAAGUCAGAGAUCCGUGCUGCAAAUCCACUACUUGUUUAUGCUUACACCUUCAAAGUGAGAAGGUGAGAGCUCUCUCUCUCUCUUUUUCUCUAAACAAACCAAGAGCCUUGCAGCCCCAAUAAAAGUUUGAAGGGAGAAAUAGAAGGAGAGAGAGAGAGAGAGAGAGAGAGAGAGAGAGAGAGAGAGAGAGAGAGAGAGAGAGAGAGAGGAAGAGGGAACAGGGAGGGAGGGGAAGAGAGUGUGGGCUGUGGGGAGGAGAAGAUGGGACGCUAGGGGCUGGGAGGUGGGAGAAGGUGUAACAUCUCGUCCCAAAAAUCGCUGUUCAAUUGAUUAUUUAUUGUGAAAAUACAUUUUUGCCCUUGGGUGUAGGGCCACUUUAGUCACUUUUUGUUCCGAAAGGAAUAUGGGGAAUUGAGUGGCAUCAUUGCAUAGAUAGAGCUUGAUGCUACGAGUUUGUAGACAGGUAGCAUGUUCAAUUCGGAGUUAAAACGAAGAAGUUAUGAUCUACGGAAGUGCAGUGGCACAACCAUAAUUUUUGCGAAGUUAAAAUUUAAAUAUCCUAGCUUCUCUCUCUCGCAACACUCUCUCUCCUUGACUUUGUCUCUCUCCCUCUUCGUCUUCCUCCCCUCUUCCUAAUCCAUACCACGAACGACCUCAAAACUCCUAGAUUAGCCUUGAUUUGUCGCCUGCGAUGUUCAUGCAAUUUCCAGCUAUUCCGGAUACCAAAUUCGUCGAAUGAUGUAUGGAACUUCAUCCUCUCAUCUUGCUCUACUUGUUUAUGUACUUAGUUUGGAUCGAUUUUGAGGUUUUACAUAUCGAUUCUUAAACCCAUUUUUGGCCGAUGGUUUCGGCUUCGUUCCGGCUAUUUCUGGUCAGUUUUUGGCCGUGGUCUAAGAACCAAAAAUGCUCCCCUAGGUAUUUGUAGGGUGUUUUGAGAAAUUUCCAUUGUGCUGCCCAUUGCGUGGAAGCCUAUUGCGUUCUAAAUUGUUCCACUUGUCAUCAUGAGUAUGAUGGUGUGCUCGGAUUUGGAAUUGGUUAUCGUUUGAUAGUUCGAUCAGUUCCAAUUUCAAUUAUGUUGUUCUCUGUACCUCUAAGAUUGUGUAGGAACUUCUUGAUCGAGAAUUGGAGUUCCGGAUACUCUGAGUCAAUGAUUCUAAGUUUAGGCGAAACGAUCGCCGUCCGAUCUUGCGAUUGGCUUAGAUCCGAUCGCUCGGUCGAGACCAAAUUUUCAAUACUUGUUUAGUAGACUUUGUUGAACAUACAGGAACUUUCUGGUCAGAAAUCGGAAGUCGUGAGCCCCGCAUGCCUGUUUGACCUCGAUGGUGGGCCUCGCUGGCCUGACCGGGACUUUUCGGUUAGGAGGUGUUUGUGGUUUGAUUGUUUGAUUUUAAAUUGGUAUUUGACCUAGAUGGUGGGCCUCGCUGGCCUGACCGGGACUUUUCGGUUAGGAGGUGUUUGUGGUUUGAUUGUUUGAUUUUAAAUUGGUAUUUUGCUACAAGAGUUUUAUUAACUGUUUACGAAUUGUUUUUCUAUCACUUUUACUUUCCAAGCAUGAUAUAUCCAUGUUUAUUUCUAUAUAUGCGCUAAAUGGAUUAAUAAUUGGAUUGUGUUGCCUUCAGAAAUAUGGUUGCCUUCGAAGGUGUCUUCAGACAUCUCAGUUGCCUUUGAAAAUAUUGAUGUCUUCGGACAUCCUAGUUGCCUUCGGAAAUAUUGUUGCCUUCGAAAAUAGUGAUGUCUUCGAAAAUAUUGAUGUCUUCAGACAUACAAUUGCCUUCGGAAUGUCUUUGGACCUAUGGUUGCCUUCGAAUUGUCUUCGGACACCUCAGUUGCCUUCGAAUAUGUCUACGUGUCACAUCCCGGGAUCAACUCCGCCAUAGCACGAUAUUGUCCGCGUUGGGCCCCUCCUCUCUGGCCCUCACGAUUUUGUUUCUGGGAGCUCACGACCAACUUCCCAGUGGGUCACCCAUCCUGGGAUUGCUCCAACUCGCUUAACUUCGGAGUUCCUACGACUCCGAAGCCAGUGAGCUCCCAAAAGGCCUCGUGCUAGAUGGAUGCGGGUGUGCACAUAUAAGGCACAUCACCCCCUCUCCGUUGGUUGAUGUGGGAUCUUACAAUUCACCCUCCCUUAAGGGUCCGACGUCCCCGUCGGCACACUCGCACCACACGGCAGAGUGGCUCUGAUACCAAAUUGUCACAUCCCGGGAUCAACUCCGUCAUAGCACGAUAUUGUCUGCUUUGGGCCCCUCCUCUCUGGCCCUCACGGUUUUGUUUCUGGGAGUUCACGACCAACUUCUCAGUGGGUCACCCAUCCUGGGAUUGCUCUGGCCCCCAACUCGCUUAACUUCGGAGUUCCUACGACUCCGAAGCCAGUGAGCUCCCAAAAGGCCUCGUGCUAGAUGGAUGCGGGUGUGCAUAUAUAAGGCACAUCACCCCCUCUCCGUUGGUUGAUGUGGGAUCUUACACUACGUGCAUAUGACAUUGCCCCACGAGUAUCGGGACUCCAGAACUAUGUGGUGUGAGGAUUUGCAUUCUCAUAUUAAGUAUAUCUUCCUGAGUUAUGCGAGGGGAGUUGAUGAAUUAUUUGCAUUCCCAGGUGGAGUAUAGCUCCAUGAGUUAUGUGAGAGGCAUUGACAGAUUAUUUGUAUUCUCAUGUGGAGUAUAUCUCCCUGAGCUAUGCGAGAGGAAUUGAUGGAUUAUUUGCAUUCUCAUGUUCAAUAUAUCUUCCUGAGCUAUGCGAGGGGAAUUGACGGAUUAUUUGCAUUCUCAGGUGGAGUAUAUCUCCCUAAGUUAUGCAAGGGGAAUUGAAGGAUUAUUUGCAUUCUCAGGCUGAGUAUAUCUCCCUGAGUUAUGCGAGGGGAAUGAUAGAUUAUUUGCAUUCUCAGAUUGAGUAUAUCUCCCUGAGCUAUGUAAGGGGAAUUGACGGAUUAUUUUGAGGUACAUCUAUGUGGAGAUUAGUGCAGUACUAACAAGUGGUACAAUUAUUAUGAUAUUUUUUCGCCACCCCGCUCAUAUCAUCUGCACAGGGUUGGCCAGGAUCUUUAGCCACCUACCCGACUUGUCUACACAUGUGGUUAGCUAGUUUUCCCUUCCUUUUUUGCCUUUAAAUUUGAUGGUAUUCCCAUAUACCCCUUGGUGGGUGAUUACAAGACAUAUGCACUAUGUGAAUGGUUGCAGGUAUGACUUUCAAGUAAAAUGUUUGGUUAUGCACGGAUUUGGAUGUACAAUGAUAAACUAAUUGAACAGUUAAGUACAUAAUUUCAUGGCAUGAUAUUCAAUUACAUAACUAGUUGAAAUCAAGGAAAAGAAUGAUUCUAGAAUUUUCAUCGUUGGUUUCACUUUGAGUUUUUCUAUAUUAUCUUAAUUGUGAUUCAUAGUAGAAAGAACUAAGUGUGGCUUGAUCCCUCAGUAAGGGUACGUAGGUAACCUAGGCUAACCUAGGUGUAGCCGCAAGUUUAUGAUUUGUUUGUUACGUUAAGUUUUGUCAAGUUGAAUUUGCUGACUUUCUUAUGUUGGUAAAAAGGGGUCUGAAGCCCAUUGAAACUUUUGCUAAUUGGUGUGUGGUUUAUACUUUGUACUUGUUGAACGCUUGAGAAAUAAUUGAGUUUGUUGUGCAGGUAGAUUUCUGGGUUUUGAGCCUUUUUCAGGGAGACUUUGCUGGUUUUCAAGUAGAAGUCAAACUCUAAAGCAAUUUUCAGGAUUAGGGCAAGAAGGAUAUUUUGGUCAUUCGUGCCCGACACCUACCAAGUGUUGGACAUGCACGGGGUUCGACAUGGAUUCCAAAGUGAAAUUUGGGUCAGGUCCUUUAAAAAAGAAAUAGAUUUUUGUUUUUCUUUUGAUUUUUAGUUUUUAAUUUAUUUAUUUUUUUAUGUAACUGGACUUUUUUACCCUUAUAUUUGACGGCAAUAUUGACAAAAUGUAACGGUAUGACCAAUGUGUCGAUUAAAAAAGGGUUAGUGGACCAUUUGAACGAAUAAUUUAGUUAAGGGACCAAAAUGCAACUUGGGUAUAAGUUUGAGGACCAUUUGAGUAAAUAACCUCUACUUCAAAGGUUUUUUUUGUCAAUAUAUAAUACUUAAAAGAUUAAUAUUGUCACAAAUGACCCACUAGUGUAGUAGUUUGGAGUAAUUGCUCAAGGUUCUAAAAAAAAAAAAAAUUGCCAUUUUGAGCUUAUAAAAUUAUAUAGAAUAAUGAGGACAAAAUAGUCAUGAAAAAUGUACAUUUAAUGUUGGCUCAUUUUCCCAAACUUUCCCAUGAAGAGGGAAAACAAAACCCAUAGGGGGUGGAGGGCUUCACUUUCCCCCUACUUUUCCAUGUGCUAGACAACUGUUUCCCAUGCUUGAACUUACCAAACAGGUGAAAGCAAUUGAUUUCCCGUCCCCAAGUCUCCUUUCCCAUGAACCAAACGAGGCCUAAAAGAAUUGAGAAGGAGGUUAGAUGUCUCUCCAAGGGUCUCCCAAAAGAACUGUCUAAAUAUUGAUGCAUCUAUCUUUUGUGGAGUCCAAUACAAAAUGACUUGUGCCUAAGUUUAAAAUUUUGUAAUUUUGAAUAACUAAACUAUUUUAAAAAUAAUUUUGGGUUAUAAAUACUUUUCUUAAUACCUUUUAUUUAAGUUACAAUAAUUAUGAAUGAUCGAUAAAAUAAUUAAUUUGGAAAUUAUUUAAAAGAUUUAACUAUUCAUGGAACACAACUAAUAUACAUGCAUUUUUAUAGAGGACUACUAGCUACAUACCCUUCUUACCUUCCUUUUAUUACCUUCACCAUUCAAUUUGUGCUACGUACAUUUCACUUACACAUAAAUUUAUGUAUUUAACGUGUUCAAAAACAUAAUCAUGUACAAUAUAGUAUAUGUAUGUUCAAAUAAAAAAACCCUACCUGCAUUUUGGUCCCCUUUUUCCUUGUCGACAACCAACCGCAAGGAAGCUAAAGGGGGAGGUGGCCACUGCACCUCCUUCCCUCAGCCCAUCUUCCCAUUCUUCUCCUCAUCUCCCCUUAUUUUUCUCCCAUAUUUUUCCUUCCUCUUAUCCCAUCUUCUCCUCCCCUUCCCCUCCGUAGAUAGUCUAGAUAUGUUUGUAUGUUUGUUUUGUUUGAUUGUUUUGGCAGUGUUCUAGGUGGCUGGUGUUGUCUUUGUCGCAAUGGCGGUGACAAUAGUGAUGCUAGAUUGUGACUCUGCUCGGGAGAGUUGUGAUACUUGGUGGGUAAUGUUUUGUCUUUGUUUCAACGGCAGUCGCAGCAGCGACGCUGGUGGUAGUUGUUGGGAUAUAGUGCUCUUCUCUACUCUACUCCGAUAAAGAACUAUGCUUGGUCAUAGGAGGUUUUCUUUGUCCGGUUUUGAGUUGAAGUUGAGUGCUUCUCAAGGGUCAUUUUGGUGACGCUGGACUGUGUCUCUCCUCGGGAAAGUUGUGAUACCUGGUAGCUGAUAUUUUGUCUCUGUUUCAACGGUGGCAGCAAUAGUGACCAAAGAACUAUGCUUGGUCAUAAGAGGUUUUCUUUGUCCUGUUCUGAGUUGAAGUGGAGUGCUUCUCAGGGGUCCUUUUAUUGUUGUUUAUGUGUUCCUUUUGAGUGUGCCUUGAAGUUUGUGUGGGUGUCAAAUGACUAUGAUUUUGCUCAUAGAAGGCUUCUUUUGGCAGUUGGGAUGUUCUGCGGUCAUCUCAUGUGGGUCUACUAUGUUGGUAUAUAGUUGCGGUUCUCGUCAGAGGUCUAUGUGUUAGUUUUCAUUUUUGAUUUGUUCUUUUAUUGUAAUGGUCCAAAGUUACCUGAAUCAGACUCUCUUGUUAGUCCAUGACAUGUGUGAUACUAUUUCCUCCCCUGGAGUUUGUCCCAUGAGGUUGUCCUAGGAAAGUUAUAAUAAGGCCACUGUAUCAUGUCGUUCUUUGUACGUCUUUAGUUCUAUGAAUGAAUUCUCUUUCUUAAAAAAAAUGUGUUCAAAAACACUUUAUUCUAUUUACAAGCAGAAUAUUAGUACUUCAUAUUAAAUACAUAGCUUUAUGUGAGUGGAAUAUAAGUGGCACAAAGUGAAUGAGAAAGAAAAUAGGGAAGGUAGCUAGCAUUUCUCUAUAUCUUAAUAUUUAAGUACAUUUUGAUAAUGUUUUUAUUUUUGAAAGUUUUAAUUUAAAUUAAGUGUUGAAUUUUUUUAUUUUUAUUUUAGAGAAAAACAAUAAUUGUGUUCAUAAAUUAUACACAAAGACCAUAAGCCAUAAGGGCUAGUACAAAUAUCCGCAAAGGGGUAAUACAAAUAUGGAAGCAGAAUAACCAUGCAGUUAAUCCAAAUACAUAGAAACACAAAGGCAACAUCAAGUGCACAAGGUGUAUCUCCAUAAUAGCCUCAUAAGGCCAAAGAAAUUUCGGCAUAAAAGCCGUUGGCUUGAAUAAGCCAGACACGAAUUGCAUUGCCUAAACUACCAAUACAACUACAACUUUUAAACUCUCACAAAUAGAAACUACUAGUAGAUACUAGACAACAAACAAACACCCAGCUCACAAAGAGUUGAUGCAAUUUUUACAACUCAAGAAACUGUAAUCACUCAACUCACCAAAGAUUUCAAGGACAACAAAAUCAGAAGAGCCGGCAACGAAAUCACCAGCACAACCAAGGUGAAAAUCCAGCAAAAAAACUGAUAAACGACCCUAAGAGAGAAAUGAGGAACACAUAGGAGAGGAAGGGAGAGAGGGGAGUGGAGGGAAGGGAAGGAGAGGAGGGAAGGGUAGAGAAGGAGAGGAGAGGAGAGGAGAGGAGAGGGGAGGGAAAGGUAAGGGAAGAAAGGGGUGGGGAAGGAGGCCACCAACCUCAAAGGGGGCCGCGACUAGAGCUAAGUUCCUUAUGGUUUUUCAUAUAGAGAGAGUUCCUUAGGAUUUCUAGAGAAAAUAUUUUUUUUUUAUUAUUUUUAAAGUUGAUGUUAUAAUGAGAAGGGUAAAAUUGAUAAUGUCAUUUUUGUUGUUGUUGAAGAUGAUUAAUGACAAAUUGACAUGUGCAUAAUGUAAUUAUUUGGAUCCAAUUUAAAUAGACCAACCCCAAUUUUUGUUCAUGUGGUUGGGCUUAUUUUCCACUUUAGUGUCAUAUACUUUUGUUCAGUUAGCUAUUAAUUCUACAAACCUAACAAUGUUAAGAAAAAUAGAUGAUUUCUUUCGUCGUGAAUUCUUUCCUCUUAUGUGGUUGUUGUAUAUUAUCAUGUUGAAUUAUAUCUAAGUAAAUUUAGGUUUUACCCAUAAAAAAACUUUCACUUUUGGAAAAAGCCAAAGCUUUUUGAAAAAAGACAGAAUAACCUCUCAACUUUCAAACCAAAGACAUGCAAAUAUAAAGGAUUUCUUAGGAAAUCAAAAAAUAAAUAAGGGCAAUUUUGUCCAUUUUUGCUUGUUUUAAAAAUUUUCUCUCUCCUUUGGGCUUUUCCAAAGUCUCCCUUAUAUCUAUUAGUUUGGCGAAAUUUGUGAUUUGAAGUUGAUUGCAAGGAUAUCAAAUUGCAGAACAAAAAUUUCAAAAAUUGAAACAACGAGAACCAAAGUGAAAAACGUAUAAAUUUAAAAGGAUAAAAAUGUAAUUUGACCAUUUGAAUAACCUCAAAUAUGAAAGAGGAUGCAUGUGAAAUAGUUCAAGAUGACAUUGGGCUUAGGCGACGAGAAUUUUAUUUUUUGGGGAAAAAGAGUAGGGGUGAGAGAAAAAAGACAGAAUGAAGUUACCCACAAGAAAGGGAAAGAGCUGCGAAGUAGAGAAAACAUGAGGCUUUGGGGGACAGCGAAGCAUAUGGCAAUCAAGUACUUUGUAUAAAUACAAGGUUCAGCUCUCUCCGUGUUUAAGGCUGAGAGAGAUCCCAGUGUUCUUGUCAUAUCCCUUUAUCCUAGGCUUGCUAGCUCUCUCUUCUCUUUCUCUUCUCUGUUUCUUCAUUUCUCUUAAACAGAGAUUUCUGGCCGAAAAUUGAAGACCCAUUUAAUAUUUUUGAUCCCUGUUGGGUUUUCUUCUCAUGAAAAACAGAGAUUAAUUGCAGACAUUUAGAGACACACUAUACACAGAAGAGAGAAAAGGUACUAGUUCAUCUUCUCUCUGUGUCAGCUUGUCUUCUUACUCUGUCUAGUUUUUAUGCUUUGGUACUUGCUCCAUCAGAUCUCAUCAUAUCGUGAUGGUUAUGGUGUUGUUUUCCCCAUGUCCUUUUUCUUCUGUCAUUUCGUCAAACACAUUGUGAUCAUCUUGUUAAUGGGUUUCUUUCCUUUGCCCAUUGGAUCUGGUUUCUGACCAGACUCCCUCUUUUUCUCUUUUAAUUUCCUAUUUUUGGACGAUGGUAAUGGCACGCGGUUUUCACUUUUGUCAAAUGCUUAAUUUAUCUCCCUUUUCGAAAGAUGGGUUUCUAGUGUUGUUCUUGCUCUGUUGAUUUACUUUUUUAAGAAAUGACUGGUAAAUUCCUUUUCACAAGACGGGUGUGUGAUCUGUUUAGUCUUUUCUUUUUCUUCAUUUAUUUUCUAGUUUGAAAUGAAGGACUGGGUUCUCUGUAAUCUGCCUUUAACACUUCCUUUUGGUUUCUUGGCCCUGUUUCAGCGAAAUUUAGGUGCAUUUCUUGCUAUGCUUUUGUGGGUUUGGAUUGGAAGAAUGUGCUUGCUUUGUUUGUUUCUUGUUUAUUUUGAUAUAUCUAUGAAUCAUCAUGAUUCAGAAAGAAAGCAGCUGAUUGGCAAGCAAUAACUCUGAAUCAUGCGUAAUUACCAAAAAAAAAACUCUGAAUCAUGCGUAGAAGCUUUUCUUAAGCUUCAAGAAAAUGAUAAAAUUAUUGGAUGCUUUCUCACUUUAUUUUCCUUUUCAUUUCCAUUGUUUGUUGUAAAGAACACACUGUUUUUUUGGCCUUUUUGACUUAGUGGCGGUGAAAAAUAUAGAGAGAGGGAGAGACCGCAUCAGGGACGGCUCUGUUUGAUGCGGUUGGGCCAGUUGUCAUGUGAGAGACAUAAAAGGAUGUUGACAUGGAAAGUAGAAAGUGUCGGUAGUUGCCAUCAGAUCUUGUAGUUGAAGUGGUCUAUCUUCACUAUUCCAAUUUCACCACUUGGUCUGCAUCAUUUUGCUAUUUUUUCAACCUUUUCCCACUCCCCUUCUUUUUGAGUGAAUUGUGUAAAUAUGUUAUCCAUGAGCUGGAUCUGGAUCUAUCCAAGGAAAUUGGUUCUCACUUUUCCAGUGUGUGAUCCACAUCUUAUUUUGUGCUUCCCAUGUUUAAGAUUGAUUGAUUGGUUUGAUUUAGUUAAACAUAUGCUUUAUGCUUUUAUUGAUGUUGUUGGAUAAAUGUAGAGGAGGCUUUUAUGGAUCAGUGUCCAUUAGUUUUUUAUUUUUUAAAAGAAUUUGUGAGGUCCAUCCAAUUAACUGGAUGUGGGCAAUAAUCGCAGGGCAUUUCAAGAUAAAUGGAUGUGAAGUUAAGAUUAAUGAAUUUAGUACUCUUUUCACUUCUUUGAUUUCUGAUGCUUUAGUUUGAUAUAUGGGAUGGCAUGGGGAAAGAAAGAAACACUUGUGACCAGUCUGGUUUAAGUGGCUGCUUUAAGUUUCCUAGUGUUUUGUACUUUAACUACUUCCUAGUACUACUUCACGGGAACAAAAUUUUCUCACCUUUUUAUGGUGAAUGGUGCUCGGUAGCAGAUCGGCAUUAUUAAAAAUCUGUGUUCACCUACAAUUAUGAAGAUAUAUAAUAUGCCUUGUAUCAGUGCAGAUAGGUAAUUCUUUCUGAGAUCAUGAAGCAUAAAGAUGGAAAACCAGGACCCCAAGGUACCAGGGUUUUCCCCAUGGCAAUCUUGUUUGUUGUGCUAUGCGGGUUUUCAUUCUAUCUUGGUGGAAUCUUCUGUUCUGAGAGGAACAGAAUUGAGCCUUCUGAUGUCAAAGAUGUCACAAAGGCAGUUCGAUCAUCCAAGGAGUCACUUGUGGCCCCUCUCCAAAUAAAAACUGUUUCCUUUGCUGAAUGCAGCAGUGACUAUCAAGACUACACCCCAUGCACAGAUCCAAGGGUAUCUCCUUAAUCAUUGAUCAUAUGGUACUUUUUGCUUUUUGGAAUUUGGGAACCACUAGAUGUUUAUCAAAUUGUGUUGAAAAUGAUGCAUGCUUGUUGUACAGAGGUGGAAAAAAUAUGGUGUUCAUCGGCUUACUUUCAUGGAACGCCACUGCCCUCCAGUAUUUGAAAGGAAAGAGUGCUUAGUUCCACCUCCAGAUGGGUAUAAGCUACCAAUCAGAUGGCCAAAUAGCAGGGAUGAAUGUUGGUACAGGUAAAUAGUUUAAUAGUUUGUUUCUGAUAUGUGUGGUCAAAAUUCCAGUUUUAAGUUUCUACUUGUUUCAUGGAGGAAAAAAAAAAAAAACGGAAGAGUUUCUCUGAGUAUACCUUGUGGAUCUGGUUUCAGGAAUGUGCCAUAUGAUUGGAUUAACAAGCAGAAAUCUAAUCAGAAUUGGCUAAGAAAAGAAGGGGAGAAGUUUCUCUUUCCUGGUGGAGGAACUAUGUUUCCUAGAGGUGUAUCUGCAUAUGUCUAUUUGAUGCAAGAUCUUAUUCCAGAAAUGAAAGAUGGGACUGUUCGAACUGCCAUUGAUACUGGGUGUGGGGUGAGUCCAAUUUAAAUCUUCUUUUGCAUUUUCCAACAUUUACAAUGGUAAAUAUAAAUGAAAAUUUCUGGUGGGUGAAAGCAUAAUUUAUUCUAUUGGGAGGGUGUGCUUAUGUUAGCAUAAUUUAGUCAAAAUGCUUGUUGAAAUUUGAUUUGUAGCUUUCUUUUUUCAUGGUUAUGAUUUUUAAUUUUGUAAUACUCUAUUUCUUUAUUGUUCUUAAAGCAGCAUUAACAGUUUACAGGGUUUGAAAUUUUAUAAUAAAAUUUAAUGUUCCUUCUGAAUAAUUAAAUUUGUUUGAAGUUACAUCAGUUCAUCUCUUUAAUUUACUAAUUUUUAGGUUGCAAGUUGGGGAGGUGAUUUGCUAGAUCGGGGGAUUUUAACAGUUUCUCUCGCCCCAAGAGAUAAUCAUGAAGCUCAAGUUCAGUUUGCCUUGGAACGUGGAAUUCCAGCAAUCCUUGGCAUCAUUUCUACACAGAGGCUUCCUUUCCCCUCAAACUCGUUUGAUAUGGCUCACUGCUCAAGGUGCCUCAUCCCAUGGACGGAAUUUGGUAAUUCAUCUAUUAAAUUCUUAAAAAAAUCUUUCAAUCCUAGAGAAUAUAAUUCGGUUUAUAGAUCUUGAUGUCCAGCUGCUGAAACCAGUUUCAAAUAAUAUCUUGAAAUAACAUAGUGCUGCAUUGCAUUUUGCCCUCUAGCUCAGCCAUAUGAAAUGUAUGCAUGUAUAGAACUUUUCCGUUAGUGUAUAUAAGUAUUAGGAUAUGUGUAGUUUUCACUAGUUCUCUUUGAAUUUGGAGAUUUUUUUUUUCUUUUUUUUUUCCUCUCAAACUACCUUAGACAACUUCUAGCUACAAAGUUCCUGUGUUCCAAUUAUAAUUUUUAAUGAAAAAUUCCCUGGAUCGCUUGUGAACUUUAUAUUAUUGCCAUAAGAUUGGAACUUCCUCUCUUCCCUUGUAGAAUAUCAUAGAAUGGAAAUUUCUUUUUCCUCCUCUCUUUAUCUUCUUUUUUAUUUUUCUAGUUUUGGGGUUGGGGUUACCACUUGUCUUAAUGGCUACUAUCCUGCUUUCAGGCGGAAUUUACCUUCUUGAAAUUCAUCGUAUACUCCGCCCUGGAGGUUUCUGGGUCCUGUCUGGUCCACCUGUCAACUAUGAAAACCGCUGGCGUGGAUGGAACACAACCAUAGAAGAGCAGAAAUCAGAUUAUGACAAGUUGCAAGAACUGCUAACUUCAUUGUGCUUCAAAUUGUAUAACAAAAAGGAUGAUAUCGCUGUUUGGAAGAAAUUGUCAGAUGAUAGUUGCUACAAUAAACUUAAUGAGCCAGAUGUCUAUCCUCCGAAGUGUGAUGAUAGCCUUGAACCAGACUCAGGAUGGUACACGCCAUUACGCUCUUGUGUUGUCGUUCCUGACCCAAAGCUAAAAAAGUCAGCUUUGAAAUCCAUCCCUAGAUGGCCAGAGCGAUUGCAUGUUGCACCAGAUCGUAUUUCCGAUGUGCAUGGUGGGAGUGCUAGUGCUUUUAAGCAUGAUGACAGCAAGUGGAGGGUACGAUUGAAGCACUACAAGAAGUUGCUCCCAGCAAUUGGGACAGAUAAGAUCAGAAAUGUUAUGGACAUGAACACAGUAUAUGGAGGUUUUGCUGCGGGGAUGAUUGAUUAUCCUUUGUGGGUCAUGAAUGUGGUCUCUUCCUAUGCUGCAAAUACACUGCCAGUGGUCUAUGAUCGGGGCCUUAUUGGAACUUACCAUGAUUGGUAAACUUUACUUCAUUCAUUUUCAUUGAAGCUUUGAUCUGUACGAAUAGCCUGCUUUUGAUGCACUUUCCAUGUGGUCAUUAUUAUGAAAUCUACUGGUCUUUUGUUGAUUUAUUUGUUUUCUCCUUUUGCAGGUGUGAAGCUUUUUCUACAUAUCCCCGAACUUAUGAUCUUCUACAUCUUGAUGGCCUCUUUACUGCAGAAAGCCACAGGUAAAAAAUGAGCCUCCAUGCAUCUUUUCUUUAGUGUGGGGCACAUCAAAUAUCUUGAAAGCGGAUAUUAAUUUGGCAUAUUGAACUAGUUAGUUAAUCUUAGAAGUUAGGUUCUCUAUGCACCUUUGUGUAAUUCGACAUGGCGGAUAACCUAGGAAGUACACACACACAGAGUUAUGAAUUCAACAGUAUAAAUGGUUCUAAUGAUGAUAGUGUUUUGGGCAGAUGCGAAAUGAAAUAUGUACUCCUAGAGAUGGACCGAAUCCUGCGCCCCAACGGGUAUGCAAUAGUUCGAGAAUCCAGCUACUUUGUGGAUGCUGUUGCGACUAUUGCCAAAGGCAUGAGAUGGGGUUGUCGCAAAGAAGAUACUGAGUAUGGUAUAGGGAAGGAGAAAGUAUUGAUAUGUCAGAAAAAACUCUGGUACUCAUCGAAUCGGACUUCUAGAUGAUGAACAUAGAAGAAACCCAAACCAAGUUUGAUCUCUUGGAGGGCUGGAAAUAGGGUUAGAAGCAAGUUCAAUACCAUUCACAGAGAAUUAGUUCACUUCAUUCUAUAAGAAGCCAAGAAUAUUCAAAUUUUAUCAUGAAGACUCAGUUACCCAAUAAGGUGCUUUCGUUAACAUAUAGGAUUUGCGUAUAGAUAUAUUUUUUUUAAGGUGUCAACAUGUACUUGGUAUAAUUUCCCUUUCCUCUUUUUCUUUUUCCAUUUUUUUUUUCUUUUCAUGCCAAGCUGUAAUAGAAUGAUUUGGAAAUUUGUUUGUAAGGGGUUUAUAUGUACCAAAAAAUGAAACAGCAACGGGUUUAAAAAUUAAGACCCUGACAGCUUGUUAUUGUUUUAGAAUCUUAAAUGAACUUUGCAUUUGUUUUAUGCAGUGACGCGCUGCAAUUUUAGUUCUUUGUUAUUGGUGCUCAUUAGUAUAUGUUUCUUUGAAUACAAGCGAUAGUCUAAAUUACAAUGAGAGGGGGCCUUUCCACACACACUACUUUUAGCACAUGGUUUGAGAUAAUCUAAUUAACUCAAUUUUUAUUUUAGAUUUAUCGUGAUAAAUCAUUUUCCAUUAUGCUUUUAUCCCAAAUCAUUCCUAAAGAAUGUUUUAGCCAUUACUAUUUGAAGAGGUAAUACAAUGUCAUUUCCAAGAUUGGUAUGUCAUCUACAUAAAAUACUAGGAAUAUGACUCAACUCCCACUAAUCUUCUUGUAAUAGAAGAGAUUCAUUCAUAUCUUUGAAAAGACUUAAACUCUUGACUUUCUUGUCAAAGUCAAUGUUUCUAACUCGCACUAGCUUACUUAAGUUCAUUGAUGGACAACUAUAGCUUAUACACUUUGUGAUUUGAACCUUGGGCCAUUUCAUAAAAGUCGUUUUGUGCAUAUCUUUGAAAAGACUCAAACUCUUUUCACUUUCUUAUCAAAGUCAAUGUUUCUAGCUCCCACUAGCUUGCUUAAGUUCAUUGAUGGACAACUAUAGCUUAUACACCUUGUGAUUUGAACCUUGAGCCAUUUCAUAAAAGUCGUUUUGUGUUUCCUUUUGUUCAAAACUCACAAUUCAAGUAUGUAGCUAUGGCAAGCAAUAUCUGAAUAGUUACAAGUGAGAAGGUUUCUUCAUUGUCAACCAUUUUUCACAUUAUUGUAAUCCUCAUGAUACUACCUUAGCCUCAUAGUUUUCUAUCUUGCCCUUCAAGCCUAUCUUCCUCUUGAAGACCAUUUGGAGCCAAUAGGUACGAUACCUUGUGACGGGUCAACUAGACUCAAAACUUGCUUGGCAUGCAUAGAAUCCAAUUUGGAUUUUUAUGGUUUAAGGCCAUUUAAUAUGAGUAGAUGCCAUACAUUUCCUCAUGGUAGUUAGAAUGAUCUCCCCAUUUCUAAGAUGGUUCUUGGAUCCAAUUCGAACUACGUGGAGCUUUUCUAGGAACUAAGUUGUCACUUGAAUGUUGAUUUGUGGUUUCCUAUAUUAAGCUAGUCCUCUUUCAAGGAAUAUAGCGUGCGAUUCGAGAAACAACAAUUGCUUGUCGAUUGAUAGAUGUAAUGUCAUAAAGUUUCCUUUAGACAUUCCACAAAUCUAUUUUACCCCUUUGAUAUCUAUGACAACCUCAAAUAUUAACAUUAUUAAGAUUCAGUUUUCAUUACAACUACAUCUUAUGAAGUCUUUGGAAAGUACUAGGUUUGGCAAGUAUGUUGCCAUUAACCGCGCUUAUCCUAAUAUCAAUUUAAUCAUUAUGGAAAGAACCAAAAUCAUUCAGAUUUGAUUUCUCGUUAGGAGACUUCCAUUAUGAUGUGAUGCCAUGUUCCUAUAUAUUUAAGGAACGUUUAUCUUCUAAUUUUCCUUUCUUUGAUCAAAUACUAUUGACAUUAUGCUUCUCUUUUAUACAUUCUUGAAUACUUUAAAACUAUUUCAAAGAAUUCAAACUUGUGUUUUAUGAGAUACAAAUAGUCCAACCAAGAGUGAUCAUAGGUGAAUGCUAUAAAAUGAGAGAAGCCUUUUGAGGUGUUACCCUUUUAGUAGGGUAAACCCUCUCUUAGACCUUUUGGUUCUUUAAGGCAUCAUUGUUUCUAAACAGCCAUUCUAUCAUUCAUUUCUUAAAAGAAAAGAGGCCACUAUCGGAUUGUAGCAAUCCAAUUACUUGUUAAUGAAGAACAAUGUAAUUUUGUCAAACAAAACAACUGUAUAGUGCCCUCAAAGACAAACAACAUAGCCACAAGACAUCUAUGAUGUCUUAUGUCUAAGGAUUGGUUUGAGCCUUUUAGUUUUAGUUUGGCAUGUGAGUAAAGACUCCCAUUCUAGAACUCAUGCAUUUGAUCGCGUUGCGUGUACUUGUUCUCCUGCAAGCACUUACACACAUAUCUUGGUGUCGACACACUUAAUGACUUGAGACCGCAUCAUUCUCUACAUAUAGAGAAGAUACUGUGUGUACUGGUCUUGGCAGAAUAUCAAUGCCCAAUUGAUACUUCUAUGACCAGGAACAUAUUUAGAAUUAGGGAUUAUGAUAAGUCUAAAUGUAUGUAAUCUCAUUACAUAGUUCUCAUAUCUACUUAUAUAUUCUUAAGACUAUAGUUGUUUUACUGUUAUGAUAAUAGACCUAUUAUCGUGGUUGAAAACAACUAGUCUUGCCCUUGAAUAACUUAAUAAGUUAUUAUAAAAGAUGUCAUUACUAUGAAUUAUCACAUAAUUAGUUGAUUUUAAGGGCAUACUACUAACAACCUUUGCAAGACUUAAAACCUUGAGGAGAAAGAUGAGCUAAAUGGUGAAUAUAUAGAACACAUGGGAGAACCCUAGGGUUCUCAUUCUCUCUCCAAAAUUUCGGCACAGGGCGGGGUGGGCCUUCUCUUGGGCCUCUUGGUCCAACUUAUCCCACUUUAAGACCCAUGGGCCUUUAGUUUCUCAAACCAUUUUAAGACCCAUUCUAUUUCAACCUAAUUAAUUAACUCUUUAAUUAAUUUUCUCUCUAAUAAAUUAAUAUAAUUAAUUGCCUUCACCAUUGAUCUUGUUAUCUUUCAUUAUUUAUCCAAAUUAUAAGCUUAUGGGUGUGUGAUCCAUUGAGUUCUAAUUAGUGAGGUCGUGGGUGAUUAUGAACUCUUUAUUUUAUCGAUUGUGAAUUACAACUCCUUUUUUAAUUCUCCCUUUAUGAGGACCCAUUUAAGGAAUAUCCUCAGGGCUUGCACAAACUGUGAGUGACGUUUAGCAACAUAUCACAGUUACUCGAGCUAAUCUAUAAUAUAUUAGGAUCAGGGUCGACCUUGACUUUUGGGUGGCCCUAGGCGAUAAACUAAAUGAGGCCCCUUCCCUUAGUAUACAAUUGCAAAAAAAUAACAAAUAAAAUGAUUUUAUGUAGCGCGUAGAGCGCUUGAAUAAAAAAGAUAGUAUGCAUUAUAAUAGGACAUAUCUCCAUAAAAAAUAAAAAAAACAUUCCAGCAACCAACAAUGGGAACAUGUCCAUGAAAUUGAUAAUUUGUAUUCUCAAAAAAUACAUUAAAACUAAGCAUUUGUUCAAAAUACUAAACCCUUUCCCUUAAGAUUGGCUUCUGGCUUUAGGCUUCAUCACAUGAGUUUAAGUGCAAAAUCCUCUUUGUGAUAUGUAGAAAGAAUCAUACAACAUAAGAAAAGUAACAAAUGGUAGCACAAAUGGACAAAGAAAUUACAAUAAGUAGCAACAUACAUAUUUUUGAAGACAUAAAACUGAAAACAAAGAAAGUAGGACACAAAACGCCCACUAAAAGUAACUUACAAAUGUCUUCAACUAAAAGAAACUACAAUAAGUAACUUAGCAUACAUUACGAUAAACAAUUAUAGAGCAUAAUCCUACCUGGUCAAUUAUAAAGCAGAGUCUAAGUCUCUUAAAAGCAAAGUCAUUGUCUGUGUAUAAUCUGGAUCACAAAAGCAGCUUUGAAAAAAUAUAUGAAAUGGUUGUGGCAAAUUUGGAAGGGUCCAAAAUCUGCCUGGAGCCUACUUCCUCCCGAACAAGCAGCCAAUAAGAGAUCCACCCUAUUACAAUGUGCAAAUAUCCGAUGCUUUCCCUUUACCAAAAUACACAAAUAGCUGCUUGAUUUCCUCUACACCAUAUACAAUCCAAAAAAUAAAAAACAAUAACAUUAAAAGUACAAUCAAUCACUGAAAAAUCCUUGAUCUUCUAGCAUUUUGAGAAGCAAAAUCUUCAAUAACAUCUUCAAAAUCAAGCUUUUCCAACAUAUUCUUUUCAAUGCAUAAGAUUCCUAAUCCAUCCAACCUUUCUUGUGACAUAGUUGAACUCAAGUAAGAUUUUAUUAAUUUUAAUUUUGAAAAACUUCUUUCUGCAGAUGCCACAGUCAAUUCCAUAAGCAACUGAGACAUUUGAAAAGCAAUUUACAGAUUUUACAUAAUCAAGAACUUGAAUGACUGUCUUUGCCACUUGUGGUAAAUACAAUCAUAAAACUUCCAAUUCAUAAAACAAAUCAUCAGCAUUAAUAUCAGAUUCAUUGCCAUGUGUUAAAGCAUCUUCAAGAUUAACAAAACAUUCAUGCAACAUUUGAUAAUUCAUUACAUAAUACUUUUUAGGAUUCAACAAAAAAACUAAAAAAACCUUCAAAUAUUUCUAAUUGUUCAAAUCUACUCCUCAAAGAAGAAAUAGCAGCAUCAACCACAACAAGAAAAUAAUUAACCCUACAAGAUUCUUUUGCAGAUUGAAAAGUCUCUUCAUGAUCAUUUUCAUCAAAUUGUUUUCUCCUACGACUUUGACGUUUUUCAUGAAAUGUUGGGUUAAUUUCCAUCUUAGAUGUAAUAUCUUUGGCAUAAAGUAAGGCAGAUGUGAACCCAUUUUUUCUGUGGUCUUCAAAAUAAGAAAGAAGCCCCUUCAAAUUUUUUAUUGCAACAUCAGUUUGCAUAUCUCCAUAUUGCAAUUUUUGGCUAACUAAGUCAAUUUUUUUUCAAAAUGUUAUGCCAUAUAGUCAUGCUCAACAAAAAUUCAAAACUUUCAAGUUCAUGUGUUGCUAAAGAUUCAGCUUCACUCUUUGUUUUGGCAUCUUCACAGACUCUAGACAAUACAAACAAAGCUUCUCUUAUAUCAUCAGUUUGGGUUAUUAUGGCUCUUAGGGUUAUUAUGGCUCUGACACUAUUAAUAUGACUUCCCAUCUUGUUGUUGAUAAUGGUUUAAGAGUUAAUCCAUGGACAUGAUUUGGAAAAAAUUUCCAUCUGUUUGUAGAACUAGCAAAUAGAGUAUACAUGUGUUGCACAACUCCAAAAAAUGACACAGCUUUAACACUUGAGUUUGCCAUAUCACAAACUGUUAAAUUAAGAGACUGACACGCACAUGGCAUGUAAAAUGCCCUAGGAUUUAUUUCAAGAAGCCUCUUUUGCACACCAUUGCUUUUCCCCUUCAUGUUAGAUCUAUUAUCAUAACCUUGGUCCCUUAUAUUAUUAAUAUCAAGUUUAAGAGAUUGUAAUACAGCUUGUAACUCAUUAAGAAGCCCAAAUCCAGAUGUAUCAUUCACUAUCAAGAACUUUAAAAAAUACUCUUCUACCUUUAUUGGAACAUUUGACAUAUCUACACAUCGAAUUAUUAAAGUCAUUUGCUCAUGGUGACUUGCAUAUGGAGUACAAUCAAGUAUUACGGAAAAAUAUUUUGCCUCUUUGAUUUUUUCAGUUAUAGCACUUCUAACUUUAGAGCCUAGCAUACCAAUCAACUCAUUUUGAAUUUUAUGGCUAAGAUAGUGAUAAUGAAUCUCAUUAUUUUGAAUACAUCUAAAUGCUCUUUCAUUACCAAAUCAAAUUCUGCAAUCAAUUCAAGCAGCCCCAAAAAGUUACCAUUAUUAUCUGGGUAAAUUUUCUCAUUCUCUCCACGAAAAGCUAAACUUCUUUUAGCAAGACAUCUCACAACAGAAAUUAUUCUUACUAAAACUAGUUUCCAAUAUUCUUUCUCUUUUUUAAUUUGCAUUUGUAUGUCUUUAUCAAUUGUUUCAUUCUUUUUCAAUCUAAUUUGCAAAUCAAUCCAAGUUCUUAUGUUAGUGAUAUGCUCAAUACUAUUCUCAUGUAAAGGGAGUGGUCCCUUUGUUGUUGGCUCUCCCUUUGAUAUUGAUUCUCCACCUUGUAGCUCUCCAAAUAGGAACAAAGAUAUGCACCUCCCCAAAGCUCUUCACCAAAGAUUGAAUGAGAUGAGAGAAUGAAUAGACAACAAGUGAAGAGUUGUGCUAGCACCCUCACUUGAUGUGAUAGAUUCAAAGGGUUAGGGAGAGAGAGCUUGAUGUUUUCUAUCUUCCAAUUUCACCAACUUGAAAACCCUUUGAUGAUAGGAUACCACAGCUACACACUUAUAAGAUCAAAAAUGUCACAAUAGUGACAAAAAUACCCCCAUGCCCUAGUGUAGCCGCACCCUCCCUUUGGGUGUCAUCUUUGUGCUGUCUUGGUCCAACACAUUAAUCCUAUAAUGUGUCACAUAUGUGCCUAAGUCCAUAUGGUAAAAUCUCUUUUGAAUUUUCAAAUCAUAUGGGGCCUUUAAUUAAAAUUUCAUAACUUUAAUUGAAUAAUUAAAUUAAUCUAAUCAAUUUAAUUACUCCAAUGACUUGACUAAUUCAAUCACUCACUUGUCUAACGAGUGUUGGUCCCGGUCAUCCUUAGUUGACCGUGUCAAGUGUCGGGUCAACUGUUUGACCUUUGACCUUUGACUUUCACAUUUACUUUGACCAAGUCACAAAAUCAUUCAUUCUCUUUUUAAUUUUCCAAUCAAUUCCUUUUCUGUGUGCAAUCUUAUAGGUUCUAAUUAGCGAGGCAGUGGGUAUGAAUGAUUCACUCUGAAUCAAGUAUGAAUUAUAUCUCUCCAUACAAUUCUCCCCAUUGGCGAAGGCUAAUUAUAAUUAGUCUUUACAGGGCUUCCACAAGCCAUGAGUGCACCUAGAAGUAUAUCAUGGCUACCCAAGCUAAAAAGAAUUCAUUUAGAGAACCUAGUCAGUUUGUGAUUACAAUGCAAUUCGAUCCUUCUCUAAUUCAAUACUCUAUGUCAUAUUCUCGGGAUAUGGUAAACUUGUGUCAAAAUCCCUAAUAUGACAUCUCUAGAUUAUAUGAUUCAAUUUGAUGAAAUUGCAAACGUUCUUGUCUUAAUUUCCAUCAUAUACUUUGGCCAAAGAUUCUCGAAUCAUAUGUUUAGAGUAUUCUCUCUUUUUACUAAGAGCAGAGAUUCCUUAUUGUACAUUCACCUGUCUCUGCAUACAUGCUGAGAAUCCUGAGGAAUACCUCUAAGUCACAUUAUUUUGAUACGACCGUAUGGUGCUCUCACAGAGAAACAACAUAUAUACAAGACAACUAUAAUGUCUCAGGUCUAAGGAUUAAUUUGCAUUAUCACAACUUAGAAUUCUUUGUUUGACAUUUGUGAGUAAGACUUCCAUACAAGAAUUCCAGAGUUGAUCGCGUUCAGUGAACUCCAUCUUCUAUAGAGCACCCACACAUCUGUCUCAGUAUCUCUACACGAAUGAGUUGAGACUAGCCAUCCUCCCAAUUGAGCAGACAUAAUGUGUACCAGUCUUUACGGGUCACCAUUGUCCAAUUGGUAAUCCUAUGAACAAAAACAGGAUACAAUAUUUAUAUGUUUGGAAAGGUCUCGUGUAUCUAACUUCUUUAGACCACUUUUCAUUUAUAUCUUAAUCCAUGGACUUGUUACUUUGUGUACGUUAUGUAUCUAAAACAACGUUCUUGCCCCUUUGAUUAUAUAUAUAUAUAUUAUUUCCUUAGAAUUAUCCAUUUUUAUAUUGGCUUCUAGAGCAUAUAUCUAACAAAAUUCGGGGCGGGUCCUGUCAUAGGUGUACUCAAGUAUGUGGUUGAUUGUACUCUCAUUGAGUCAAUGCAUUAUUAGCUUUACUUGUAUUUGUCCAAAACUUCAUGGAGGCUCUCUCACACUCUUAUAGCAUGCAUCGUUUUGGCAAAGAUAAAAGUUGGGUUCGUAUUUGGCAUCCUUAUUUUCAAGGUUUACGCGUUGCUUUAAGACUCACUCUUGUAGCACGAUGCCCUAACAUAUCAUAUAUGUUUAGGCAUAUAUUAAACCCAUUUAAGAUGUGACAACUUCACUAUAUUUCCUUUUGAAUCAUUGUCUAAGCAUAGAUCCAAUGUUGAUUUGCUAGAUUACUUCAAUAAUUUUUAGCUUGGAGUUUGCUACUCCUGGGAACUGAUAAUUUAAGACAAAUGAACUAUCGUUCAAAAUCAGUUUGCCUAAUUCAACUAAUCUAAGACUUGAAGCCAGUGUUAUGAAAGAUCUUGGGGCCAGACUAUAACACAGUCAAGUUAUCCAUUUAACUCAACAACUUAGACUUACUCUUAAGUCUCAUGGUUUCACCAUAGGCGUGCGUUCAAUCAAUCCUACAUUUUUAAUAUAAAAGGUCCAUACUUUCAAUUGAAUUGCAUCUCUUAUGGAUUUUGGAGUUCUUAAUUGGAAGACGCUUGGUCAUGGUAAAAUGUUUAUCCCUUAAGCAAGUGUGCAUCCUCAAAUAGGAUAUAUAUAGGCAUAUAUGUGUUAAUCAUUUAUAAGAUACAUCACAUCAUUAUGUAUGUUUGUUUUCCAAAUAUGUCUCUACGUAAUAUCAAACUAUCGUUUUGAUAUGAUGCCAUUCCCUUUGAUUUUAUUCAAAGAAAAUCUUAAAGUAAUAAAUCUCAUUCUAUGUGAGACAAAGUUCUAGAACGAUGAUGUAUUCAUCUUAUUGCACUCUUGAAUUCUCCAUAUUCCUUUGAAGCAAUUCAUUUUAAACGAGAGUGAUCUCGGUAGUGUAAUAAGAGUGGUUCUCUAAUCCACAGAUGAAUAUAAUUCAUACUUUCAAUUUAACUAUAAUCCAUAGUGAUUCUUCUAGCAAGCCUCCUUAUCUCCGUCUUCACACAUGAAUGACUCGAGACUAGUCAUCCUUCUAUUUGAGCAGAUAUAGUGUGUACCGGUCUUUGCGGUUCAUCAAUGCCCAAUUGAACGAUCCUAUGACCGGGAAUAUUUUUUGUUCGAGUUAUAGGAAAAUUUCCAUUUGCAUCUAACCUCUUUAGAUCACUUUCCUUAUCUCAUAAAUUCAUGGACUUGUCAAAUAGGUCAAUAGUCAUGCGUGGACCGUCACCUCUGUUGACAUAUUUGCCUUUUUGUGUAAACCUAAAUAAUUGGUUUAAAUGAAGUUUUCAUGAAAAAUUUCAUCUAAUGAUUAGCUUUCAGGGUAUACUUCUAAUAGUUACCACCUAGACUUUUAAUUUUAACUAUUAACCACCUUAAUUUUGUAAGUGUUACAAUUAACCACCUAUGUCUAACUCCAUUAAAAUUUUCGUUAAGUCAAGUUGUAUGUAAUAUUUUUUGAAAUGCAAUUUUGUCAAUUCACUAUAACUAAAUAAUAAAAAAUAAAAAACCUAACCUAAUUAUCCGAGGACCUUCCACAAUCCCUUCUAACACUGUUCUCCCCCACUGCCCAGCAACCCCCUCCCCACCCUCUGCAUAUAUAACUCCCCUCCCUACACCAUAUAUAUCUCUCUCUCCACCGAAUUCAAUGUUAACAUGGUUAUGCAGGAGUUUCUAUUUUGAAAAUUUUGUUAUAUCCCCAAAGACUUCAAUAAAUUAGUCCGUAAGACUGCUAACCACACGCAAACACUAUUGUACAACCAACAUAUCUGUACCUUGAUAGAGCUGCCAAGUUGUUCAUCAAUGUGGUAAGGAUUUGAUCUUAUGAAUAGAUUUAGGGCUUAGAUGUAUAUGGUAAUUACUUGACUUAACGAAAAUUUUAACGGAGUUAGGUGUAGGUGGUAAAGUGCAAUACUUUAUAAAGUUCAGGUAGUUAAUAGUAAAGAUUAAAAGUUUAGGUGAUAACUGUGCACGUGCCUAAAGUUCAAGUGGUAUUUAUGCAAAUUUUCCUUUUUUAUUUUUAUUUUCAGUUUCAGUUUUUUAAUUCUUAACGGGUGAAACGGGUCGUGUCGUGUUAUUCGCGAAUUAUAGAGAUGAUAUAUCACAAAAGAAAGUUUUAAUGUAUCUACUCAUGGUUCUGAGCUAUUGGAUCAAUUAUGCGUGCCCUCGGGAAAGAUGAUAUGUGGUUUGUGUUCGCGGUAAAGGGUGGGGUUUAGCGAUUGAAGGUUGUGUUAACAAAUUUUGGUUUGAGAGAGAGAGAGAGAGAGAGAGAGAGAGAGAGAGAGAGAGAGAGAGAGAGAGGAAUGAGAUGGUGUAGGUGGAGGAGAGAUCGCAAGGAGGUCGCUGGGGGCUAAGUGGGUUGGUGCGGCUUGGUUGAGGUUGCGGUUGGUAGUUUUUUUGGUCUACUUUAUUGCUUUUUUUUAGGACAAACUACAGUAAAUCCCCCAACCUAUAGGGUCAUUUACAAGUUCAUACCCGAUUUUAGGGACAUUUACCAGUACAUACUCAAUGUCACGGAAAACCUACAAAAUGUCAUAUUCGUUAGCCAAACCGUUAGUUAAUCUGUUAUAUGCUGAUGUGGCAUUUUUGGGACCCGUUUUUUAACUGAGAUGGACUCCACAUAAGAAAUAAAAUUAAUAAAAUAAAAGAGAAAACAUUUUUAAAAAAAUCUAAAAACCCACAACCAAAAAAAAAAAAAGAAAAAAAGAAAACCCAUCUUCUUCAUCUCCAACAGACUUCACAAUUUUCUCAACCUCUCUGCAAACCUUCUCUUCCCCCUUCACUUACCCCAUUUUCUUUACUCUUUGUGUGAGAGUAAUUUAUCGAAGAGUUACAAGAACCAAAUGGAGAAGAAAUUGAUCGAGAUUUUGAUAUGGGUUUCGGACAGUGCUUCUUAUCGGGGUUCUAUUUGGAUGGUGAGAAAAUUACCUUUUUUCGGAGAAGAGUUCGAGGAAUUCGAAGGAGAUGAAAUUGACCAAUGUUUCGGUUUCGCCUUCGAACUUUUUUUUUCCUCUUUCUCACUGAAAUUCUGAGGGAUUCAAAAGUGAUGGGACAUAUCUAGAUGCUACAGGGUCAGUUCCUCUCUCUCCCUCUCUCUCUCUCACUCUUCAAAACCCUUCUUUCUUUCUUUCUGGAACCAAAACUAGAAUGAUUGCUUGAAUUUUGGUUGAAUUAAAAUAACCAGAUCAAUUUUUAUUUAUUUAUUAUGAUUUUCCUUGUUGGGUCUGUUCAGUUAUGAAUCCAUUUUCCUAGCUCAAGUGCUCAUGUUUGGCUGCAACGUGAAACUAGAGAAAGCACAGUAACCAAAUCAGGUUUCUCACCAGCUGCUUCCAAAGCAUGAAACAAUCUCAGCGCCUCAUUCAAAUCUCCUUUAUCAGCAUACCCACUGAUCAUAGGAGUCCAUGAAACACAAGUUCUAUUUGACAUGCCAUCAAAUAAAAAUCUAGAAGAAAGUAUAUCACCACACUUGGAAUACAUUGAUAUAAGGGCAUCGACAACAAAAAUGUCAGAAUCACAGCCCAUUUGAAUUCCAUGAUAAUGAAUCAGCACAACCUGUAGCAAUUUAUCAGGUUGGCAUGGGGGCGCAGGUGCUGGGUUUGGGGGUGUAGUUGGUGAUGGCUGAGGGGUUUAGUCGGGAUUCAUGUUGUGGGUUGAGUUGGGUCGGAGAAGGUGGCAGGAGGAGAGAGAGGAUGACGGUUGAGAAUGGAGGGGGAUAUCGGAGAAGAUGGGUUUUUUCUGUUUGUUUUAGGCUGCCAUGGGGGUCUUGAGCGAGGUUGCGAAGGGGAGGAUGGUGGGUUCUUCUGGGUUUGUUUGUUUGUUUUGUAUUUAAAUUAUUCAAUUUAAAAAUAAUUUUAAUGAUUUAAAAUUAUUUUUGAAAAGUAUAUAAUUUUUUAUUAAUUUUUUUGUCCACCUGUAAGUCCACAUCAUUAAAAAAUGGAAUUCACAUUCGCCACGUUAGCAUUUAAUAGAUUCACUAACGGUUUGACUAAUGAAUGGGCCAUUUGUAGGUUUUCCGUGACGUUGAGUAUGUACUAGUAAAUGUCCCUAAGAUCAGGUAUGAACUCAUAAAUAACCCUAUAAGUUGGGGGGGUUUACUGUAGUUUGUCCUUUUUUUUAAACGUUUUCUGGUAAUUUAAUACGUAAUGAACUUUUUUUAUUAAUUUUAAAGUCUACAUGGACUCCACCUCAAAGCAAAAAAUGAGGCCCACAUUUGUCACAUCAUAAUUUAACAGAUUUAUUAACAACUUGUGUAAUGGAGGGUGUCAUUUAUAGGGUUUUUGCAAGUUUCGAUACUCAAUUGAAGGGUCUUCAAAGGUGAGGUAUGAAUUUGUAAUGAUCCUUAUAGGUUGGGGGGUUUUAUAUAGUUGAUCCAAUAAUAUAUUAUAUAUGUUCAAAGUGAGACGAUACAACUUUUGUCUUUGAAGAGUUGCAACUUUUGACUCUUCAAAAAUAUACACAUCUUUUCAAAUAGUCACUUGCACAUUUAUAGAGAACCUAUUGCAUCUACAUCUCACUUGGAGAUAUAAUUCAAUUCAUUCAAAGCAUUUAUUAGUCACUUGCGUUAUAGUAUGGAGUUCUUAGUAUGAGAGAAUGUUCAAUAUAAUCGUGGUUAGUUAGGUUCUUAUAAUUUGUAGUGUUACAAUCAUAAGCAUGAGGUCGUUGCAUCUUGGGAGACCAGUAUCGUUCAACCCAAGAGUACUGAAGUGGGACGUAAAUUGUCUUAAAGACAGAAUGCUAAGCAUUCACCUCGACCAAUUUUUUAGGUGAUUCUAAACUAAUUUAUAUGUAUAUUCAGCAUUGGUGUUGUUCAUGUUAUAUAUAUAUAUAUAUAUAUAUAUAUAUAUUAAAUUUGUAUAUUUAAUUGCAUGUUUAUUUCUAAAUUUCUUUGUUUAAAUAUAGCAAUCAGACCCUUUAUUUCCUACAUUAAAUGGGCAAAGGAAAAGUAAAAAACUUAAAGUAACGAAAUGAAAUUCCCAGCUAAAUAGCAAGUCACAUUUUUUAUUUUUCAUUUGAUCCGGCAGACCCAAAGAAAAGGAAAAAACUGUAGAUAAAAAGAAAAUAAAAUAAAAGGGCAGCCAGCCACGACCCAAAAAGAUCUGGGGUCUUGUGUAAAAUUACAAGAAUACCCUUUUCUCUAUUUAUGCCGUGGAGUGGAGCUAUAAAUAUCGGGUACGUAAGCAGAAAUUAGGUAAAUUCCUUGGUUGGCACGAAGGAUUGGUUUUCUCUCAUCGCACAGAUCAGAAUUCGGUGGGUUUUAGGCAAAGUCGGUUUUACAUAACAGAAACUCUGGAUUCCACCUCUUCCCGUCCUUGGCGACGGUGGUUAUGCCGCUUGGCUUUCAGGUUCGUUUCCUUUUCUUCGGAUCUGAUUCCUCACGCCUUUUCAUUAUUUUUUCAAGUUUCGUGUUUUUUUGCAAUUCGAUUUUAUUCGAUUUGUUUGGGCUGAAUUUAUUUUAUUCUCUUUGUUUUGUAUAUCGAUUUCAUUCAAUUUGGUCAGUUGGGAUUUUUUUAGAAUUAGGGUUAGUUCUUCUUCAUGUAUUCGUCUUGAUGUGUUUCUUCGAUUUCGGUUGAAAUUUUGUUUGGUUGCCGAAAAACUGUGGGAAAGGCGUCAGGAUUUGACAAUUUGGGGCUCUGUCUUAUUAAAUUUUCUUCGUCUGGGUUACUAAGGUUUGGUAAAAAAAUUUCUGAUCUGGAAUUGUUUCUCUAGGAUAAUGUAAUUUCUGGGUUUAAUUUGGUCAUUGAUUUGCAUUACUUUUAUUACUCUUUAACUCGAUUUUGGUUAUUGGAGGCUUUUUGUUUAUUUAAUUAUUUUUAUAUCAGCGAUUGAUUGUAAUCUCUUUAAGUCUUUAUUAUAUAAAUUGUUAAUGUUGUAUAAUUUUUGCCUAUUGAUAUUUAAGUGAGGUUAUAGCGUAGUUAAUACUUGGUUUCGUUUGCAUAUGAGUGUAGUGCAACUAAGUGUUGGUUUUGUAUGGAUGUACGUCUGAACUGUAAUCUUCUAAGGCUCAAAGUAUUGUGCAACAAUAUUUGUUUUGUACACUCGAAAAAUUCUGCAGUCAUAUUUAUAAUAUGCCUGCUUCUGGUUUUUAAUGCUGGAAUUUGCAUCAUUAUGUGCCCAUAUUAUGUGAGAUUCAGUUUGAGUGGCCAUUAUAUUCAGUAAUGGAUUCCUUUUAUCAUGUCUGCAUGAUUCAUCUGAUGUGCGGUUACUUGUUGUAAUCUAAAUUUCAGGUUGUGCCGGGCUUGGAUCUAAAGAGCUUUGACAUAUUUCUGAAGACAUGGAGCAGAUGCGCUUCUGGUCAAAUUGUCACCAGUACCGGGUCUUUUCUUUCCAGGAAGUGCUUGACUGGAGAUUUCUUGUCCUUGGAGAUUUUCUUCUGGUUUCCUUUGUUAAUUGCACUUAGUGGUCAGCUUCUCUUAAAUGAUCAAUACGGGAGACGUGAUGCUAGUUACAUCUGAGUCAGGUGUUGGAUCUUUAGUGCAUAGCGCAUUGCUGAUACAACAUCGAGUUGAAAUUUCCGUGAAAACUUCUUCAGGGGUACAGUAUACAUAUCUCACAUAAAAUGUUAUGCAUCUGCUUAUUAUCCAAUGCCUGCUUCAUAUUCCUAAACUUUAUUCUCUUGUUUCUUAUGACAGGGCUAAAGUCUAGCAAUCUGUGACUGAAGAUCUCUACAUAGUUAAUAUUAGAUAAUCAGUUACGUCAACCCAAACCAGUGCAGACUGUUUAUUUCAUAGUUAUUAUUUCAUCGUUGCUCCUGAUGGUUUCUAUGAAACGUGGCAAGAUAUUGGUCAGCUAAAGAUUCCACACUGAUUUCUACUUAGUUUAGAUGAGAUAGCAGUUUUUGUUUAUUGAGCCUUGGGUGACACUAUCUUGAUCUUGGAGUCUUUCUUCUGCGGGAUAAAUCAUUCUGGUUGGUUUUUCAAUUGGUAUCGAUAUGUCCUGUGGUGCUUGCCGUUUUUUGCCAUCUAUGUCAUGCUCUAGUCCGCAAGCUGUGGAGUUAGUAAUGAAUAAGGCUGUGCAGCCCAUCCAUCAUAAGAAUUCUGGUUUUGUGCUUGUGCGUGUUGCCUCAUAAAAUUAAUGGUUUGAUCUUGCUGGACGAGCAAGGCAGUUGUUUAUAUCCUACAGUGUAUUUUAAGGAUCAUCUUCUGAAGAUAAAUUCCCAUUUAUCUUUUACGAGUCUUUAUGCUUUCACUGAAUAAAGAAAGAGCUGCUUUGUGUUCCACAGGAAGAAUGGAGAGGUAAGGUUGUUUACUGUGCGACUUCCUUUAAUGUUUAUUUGUUUAUGUUGACACAAUAUGUAAAUUUGCGGUUACUCUAGGUACAAGUUAAUAAAGGAAGUUGGAGAUGGCACAUUUGGGAGUGUCUGGCGUGCUAUUAAUAAGCAGACUGGUGAAGUUGUAAGUGUGUUUUUCAUUUUCCUAAGAAUUCAGUUUAUGAUAUAUAUUUUUAAAUUUUGUUCUGAUUAUAAUCACUGAAUACAGGUUGCAAUUAAAAAAAUGAAGAAAAGAUAUUAUUCAUGGGAGGAGUGUGUAAGUCUACGAGAGGUUAAGGUAGUUCAACUUACUAUAUCCUCUUUAGAUAUCUUGCUUUACCGUGCAUUUUCAAAUCAUAUCAUGGACUUCUACUUCAUGCAGUCAUUGCGUAGAAUGAAUCAUCUGAAUAUUGUGAAGCUCAAGGAAGUCAUCAGAGAAAGUGACAUCUUGUACUUUGUGUUUGAAUACAUGGUAAGUUAUAUUAACACAAACUUGCAAAUAUUUUGUACGACUUUUGUUGGCGAGCGUUAUUGUUUAUUCUCUAUAUUCUCAUAUGGACAUUGCAGGAGUACAACUUGUACCAACUUAUAAAAGAUAAGGAAAAGCUUUUCCCUGAAGCUGACAUCAGAAAUUGGUGUUUUCAAGUUUUUCAAGGCCUUGCUUACAUGCAUCAGCGUGGAUAUUUCCAUCGCGACCUUAAGCCAGGUAUUUGAUGCAAUUUUGAUGCACGACUUUAGUUGAGUAAUUAAAAGGUUCAAAGAGAAUUUGAAGGGCUUAAGGCAUCUAUGCUAAUGAAAAUUCUUGUAUAUCUUUUUUUUUUUGGGGGAUGGAAACAUGUGUACCUCUUCCAUAUUUUGUUGAAGAAUCAAUCUUAGUUGCUUAUUGUGGGUUUGUGUUUGUUUCUUUUUUAGUCGCAGUUUUCUUUCAUUUCAAAGCAGAUUGAUGUUUGCUAAGGCUGCAAUGAUCAUGUGGAAUCCUUGAUUUAUUAGUGUACAAUUUUCCCUUUGUUAUACUUAUAAUAGUUGUAAUGCCUGCUGCCGUUGUUUUUGGACACCAAUUCUUAAUUAGCUACUUUUCUUCUUUUAUUAUUUGAUAUUUAUUUAUAAUUCCAGUAUAAAACGAGAUUUGAUGUGGCCAUGUUUUCCUACGGUUUUGGAGGUAUACAUUUUAUUUGAAAAUAAUUUUCAAAUUCAAAACUACGAAUGUUAUGUUAGCUUUAGAAUCUACUUGCUAGAUUAAAAAGAAAAAAAAGGGUUUUUGACCACCAAACUGACGUUUUGAAUUGGUGAAACAUUGGAAGGGGCGCUGAUCAAUGUACAUGCUUUAUAUUUUCUUGCCUCUUUUAAGUUUCUCUGUUUUGACAUCUUUCUUCAACAAUUUUUCAUUCACGUAUUGUAGAAAUUUCUGUCCACCAGUGGAAUGCUUUGUUUUGUUUCUUUCUUUUUGGGGGCCUUCUAUGGUUGCUUCGUGCAUGGUGUUGCUAUACUUGUUCAAGUUGUGUUUGUAUUUCCCUUUUGGAUUCUCAAUGAUAAUUGGCAAAAUCAUGUAUUACUUUUGUUUAUUAUGUUCUGUUCUGUGUCUUUAAGUCGUUCAUGUUGUCAUCUGUUGGGUCCGUGUCUUCUUUUGCUACCGAACUCUAACAUACUGCUAUCUAUACCUUCACUCCUUUGUAGAGAACUUGUUGGUUACCAAGGAUGUCAUCAAAAUUGCUGAUUUUGGUCUUGCUCGGGAAAUCGAUUCGCAACCUCCAUAUACGGAAUACGUGUCAACACGGUGGUGAGUGUUUAUUUUCUUAAUUAGUUAGCUCUGCCUGAAUGCAAACUUAUUGAUGUGAGUUACUAACCUCUAGAAUGUGGGCAUGUUAGGUAUCGAGCGCCUGAAGUCCUGCUCCAGUCAUACCUGUAUAGCUCAAAAGUCGGUGAGUGUUUGUGGAAGUUUGAAGUUUUGAUUUUUUUUGUUGGAAAGUUAAUGCGUUAUUGAUGGUUGGUUUCUGAAUGACUUAAUUUUUUCAUUUAUUUAAAUGUCAGAUAUGUGGGCAAUGGGUGCUAUCAUGGCUGAGUUGUUUACUCUCCGCCCUCUAUUUCCAGGUGUUAGGUAUGUAUUCAUUACUCUUUAAACAUCCAGUGAUUUGUUGCCGAAUGGGAAAUAUUGCUAUGAUUGUUGGAUAGCAUUUUGAUAUUAAUUGAUUGUGUAAUUUGUUAGAAGAUAUUUAGUAGUUUAUCUGCUGAUAAUUUAGCAACUGAUAUAUCAGUUGGUUUACUUUUAAUGUUGUUCUUACCCUUGCUUCCCUUCUGACACUGUUUUCAGCGAAGCAGAUGAGAUAUACAAAAUAUGCAGUGUGAUUGGUAGCCCAACCAAGGAUUCAUGGGCUGAUGGGCUUCAUCUUGCAAGGGAAAUCAACUACCAAUUUCCUCAGGUCAGUUUUAUCCUACUUUCUUUCUCGCAUUUUUAGUGUGUUUGUUGAGUUGCGUAGACUUUUACAGCAGUCUCUUGGGGAGUUCUUUGUACAUUCUUAGAUCUAGCAGACAAUGCUGUCAUUUCUGUAUCGUAUUUAUGAAAGAUCUUUGAUAUAAAUGAUUUUGAGGGGCAUGCCUUUUGGGAUUUAAUGUUAUCUGCGUUAUCCAGUAUGAUUAGUGGAUAUUAAGUUGGAUGUUUCUUUUUGCAGUUCGCAGGUGUUCAUCUUUCUACGUUGAUUCCUUCAGCAAGUGAUAGCGCAAUCAGCCUUAUGACAGUAAGUCCAAUUUUGUAUUAAAUGUAGCUGCUUUCCCGUCACUACCUCUAACCUUCCCACUGUGGCACAUAGUUUAAAUUCUUGUUACUUGAUCUGGGGAAUUUUUCAUGUCCUCAGAUCAAACUAGAGAAGCGAUUAAACUUUUAUGUCUUAACUAGUAGUCUACUGAUAUGACACUUACGUUUUCCCUUUCCUUCUGUUGUAGUCACUUUGUUCUUGGGACCCGUCCAAGAGGCCAACAGCUGCAGAGGCCCUCCAGCAUCCUUUCUUCCAGGUAGUUUUUUGGAACAAAGUAUAAUUAGUGAAACAUCCAGUCUUGAAUGGUUAUCUGUAGAUGUUUUGCAUAUUCUAAGGUGUACUUUUCAUGUGGCAGAGUUGCUAUUACGUUCCGCCAUCCCUUCGCUCCAGAUCAACUGUUGCUAGGACACCUCCAUUUGGUUUGUUUAUCUGAUAAUUGUUGAAUUGUGUUUUUAAUUAUUCGUUUUGUUUAGGAUAUUAAUUUAUGUGGAUUGUUACACAGCUGGAGCAAGGGGAGCAUCGGAGCAGCAAUGUGCUAGAAAAUUAUCUGGGACUUUAUCUAAUUCAAAGAUUUCUAGCAACUUUCCUUCCCCAAAGCUGCAUGCUUCUAUGGGCACAGGUCAGUUUGAAUGUUGUUCUGUUGAGUUUUAGUCUUUAUAUUCUGACUUCAAUAUUUUUUUGUUUUUAAAUAUCUGUAGUUUGUGUAAUGUUUUGUAAAAUACUGUAUGAGUUCUCUGCCAGGUGGUUUUUUCUUAGGUUUUCCUUGUUAAUAGCUAAUACUGAUGGUUUGGGAUAACAAUUCCCCUUAAGGAGAGUAUGAAAUAAAAUGAAGGUUUUUUUUUAUAAUCUAUUUAAAAGAUGUAAUUUAAUAAGUGCUCCUAUUACUAAGGAAGCAAUAAUUUUCUAGAUUGAUUCUCAUUAUGUGAUUAAAUAUCGUUGCAGGUGUGCAGCGAAAACUGGAUAUGGUUAAUCAGGUGAGCGUAGACGCGUAUUCUUUCAUCUGUUUUAUUUGAGUGUUUGUGUGCUAUGUGAUGCACAUACCAAGAUUGCUAUUACUGUAACUAAUAAUUUUUUCGACUUUAUCAUUUAAGGAUGCGAAAAAGAAUGAUAAAUAUUUGAAGAGCUCUGCCAAGCAACAGAAAUAUCGACCCCCUGGUAAAAGCAGUCCUAGUAAGUUUCUUGGGUACAACAGGGUUAUGUUUCAGAGAUUUCAAUUGUAUUCCAUGUACUCUGCUGAUGACAUUUAUCAAUCAUAGGGACAAGUGGCGUCCUUUGGUUUUUGGUUACGUAAAUUUAUUAAGCUCGUGGUCUUCCUUUUCUGUUUCAUUUGUGAUUAACUGAGAAAACUAUGUUGGUUGGCAGCGACUGUGAACAAGGGAAGGAUUACACAUGGAGUUUCAGAUACAUCUGAGAAGCUGGCAAACAUGACAAUUGGUUAUCGCAAGCAGACUGUGGGGCAGCAGAUGCGCCCCCCUCCCAUGAAGGCUGGAGUCCAGUGGAUUGGCGAAUCUGGAAACUUGUAUCUCAGGCCUGUUCAAGAGAUUCAACCUGGCAGAACCUAUUCGAGGAAAGUUGCGGGUUGAUUAAAGAGCGACUUCUUUAAGAGGUCGUCAUAUAUAGUCUUUCAUGUGUGUGGUACCAUCACCUGCAGCAGUUGUGGAUUUCUCCGUCUUUCUUAGUUCUGAACCUAUGUACUUGCCCCUGUGGCAUUUGGUUUGCUUAUUGGUGUGUCAAUAUGACCUAAUGGCAUCUUCUGCCUGGUCUAGUAUUAACGUUAUCCUACUGCUUUCUAAACAAUGACCUGGAUUUUCAGAGUAAAUAAAUGAAAGCAAAAGGUUUUAUGUUUGUUUAAAGAAAAUCUGUUUAUUACUUUCCAUUUUACAACGUGGCAUUCUAAGUUCUUGAGGGUCCAAUUCCGGCGGCGCAACCCCCUCUCCUCGCUGUUGGAAAAGCCUCCCCUCUGUUCUCCCUUUUCAAUCGCUCUCUUUCUUCCCCUUGAUUUUGGAUCCAAAUCUGAGUAAACGCUCAAACAAUAACCUAGCUCAUUCUUCAUCUUAUCGAAAAUCAACACCCCUCGAAAUCUGAUCAAAACCCAACAAAAGUUUCAGCACUGAUUAAACCACAAACAAGAACUAUCAGUUUUGAAUGUUGUUUUAUAUGGAUCCACACAAGAUUAAAGCUGCACUUCUGGCUUCUUUGAAAGAGAGAGGAUCAAUAGGCAGAGAAAUCAAGAUAUAUAAGGGGCACAGAGGUAGAAAAAAGCAGAUGGAGGGAGAGAAAAGGAGGCUUUGCCAGCACCGAGAAGGAGAGCGGGUUGUCGCCUACGGGGUGGGGUGGCUGAUGGGACUGGCUGGGUGAAGUAAUUUCAUUUCCCCUCUUGGAUGACCACCUCUCCCUCUAUAAUCACGCAAGUGAUAGGGCUCUCCUAUAUGUAAGUAAAGCUAUUCCUACCCAGCCCAUGUGAUGUUGUGAACUCAUGCCUACCCAAACUUAAAAGCAACCCACAUGUGCUAUAUGGCCCAGUCAAACUUAAGAAAAAAAGGGGGAAGCAAUAUAAGCAAGCAGCCAAUUCCCUUUCGGCUGUGUAAUAGUUGAUAGUCUCAAAUCAUUUUCCUUUGCAGCUUCUUCUUGAGUUUGAACAUUCUCUCUUGGCAGCAUCUUCUCAUAUCUAAGGCCAACAAGUAUUCUUCUUAUUCUCUCCUCUUUAAUUAUCUUCUUCUAUUGGCUUUUUCCUAAAAUAAAUGUAUGCAUCUUAAGUUUUUUAAUAGUUUAAUUUAGUUUUAGAUUUAAAUAGUUUAGUUUUGUGUUGCAUUGCAUUAAUUAGUUAGUUAGUUUUUUUUUUUUUUUGGUUAAGCUUUUAUUUUAUGUAUAGAUAUGCAUAUUUGAGGGUAAAGUUCAUUACAUUCUCCUUGACUAGGUGUAUCUUUUUAUUUUUAUGAAUGAAAUUCACUCAUACCGUCGAGUUUUUAAGGUAAGUUUCGCACACUUGACUUUUGAAUCCUGAAUCUGCCAUUGCCUUUAGGGUACCUUAUGAAUUUUUUUUUUCCAACCAUCCAAACCGUCUAUUUUUCAAGUCUUCAUUCAUAGAUCAUCCUUGCAAAAAAUCAAACAAAUUGAAAAUCAUUAAGGCAUCUAAUUGCAAGCAACAAAAUAGACGAACAUUGUGCUUCAAGAAAAGAUUAAAAUAACUAUAAUCUAAUUGAGUAAUCAAAUAGUUUCGGAUAUAAGUGAUCUUUUGAGAUGAUCUUUGAGGGAAUAUCUAAAGAUUAGACAGUUCAUAUCAUUGAAAAAAAAAAUGUGUGUUGGGCGCUACAAAAGUGUCCCUCAUAUUUGAAGGAUCUCUCAAUUGAAGCUCACUUUUUAAAAAAAAAAAAAACAUAGAAAAGCUAUCCUUUCUAUCUUUUUUUUUUGGUAUGACUAUCCUUUUCUAUCUUUCAAAUCCAUUUUAACAUGGCAUGAAAAUUAUGAGUGAAUUCCACAAGAUGGCUUUCUGCUUUCAACAAUAGCAAUGAUCAUAUUAGAAGACUUGAUCAUUGGCCUAAUCUUGUAUGGAGAUUCACUAUUAUACCUAAUAUAUGAGCCUAAAUUAUAAAAAUACAUUAUAUGAAAUGGACUUUAUAAACAUACCUAAUGCCCAUUUACAAUAUAACAAAAAAACUUUUAACUUCUUUUAAAUUACAAAACUGUUAUUGAUUUAUUAAAAAAACCUCAAUCUUAAAACCUCAUAAAAAAGCCCAAAACACUCAAUAGGGCAUCAAAGUAAUUUAAUAAUCAAAAUUAAAUUCAAUAGGGCAAACUAUUAUUUUUUGGUUUUUUUUUAGUUUUGUUUAUAGAAAUUAAAUGGUGUACGAUUUAUCUAUAUUAUUAAUGCUAAGAAUAAAUAUAUGAUUAAAUAUCUCUUUCACUAAUCCAAGCGAGUCCAAUCUAAUCAUCCCUAUCAAACAUGACCAAAGUCUAUAUAUGAAGUUCAUUAUCAUAAAAAGAAAAGAAAAGAAAAGGUAAUUUGCCCAAAUUAUUACCACCGCCUAGCUAAAGGCAAUCGAAAAAGAAAAUGGAAAUGUUGAAAAAAAGAAAAGAAAAAAAGAAAAUGGAAAUGUUGAAAGAAAAAAAAAGAAAAAAAAAGAAAAUGGAAAUGGAACAAUUCUUGGACUGAACUUAAAGUCUCCAAGUACAGAUAGAUAGAGAGAUACUCUCUACGACCCUCUUUCCCUUCUCAUUUACUCAUUUCCCAACGAAUAUGGCCAAAUCCCUCUUCUCAACCACCUUCUCUCCAAGGUAACCUCCUCUCUCUCUCUCUCUCUCUCUCUCUCUC
rnacentral:lncRNA from 1 species